AAAAAGAAAACACAUUACGGCCAAUAAAAAUACACAUUCUUUAGUGCACAAAAGCCUAUGAAAGUAGGUUAACAAAAAGUUACAAUUACGCAAUCACAUUAACGACGUGCAUCUAUAUUGGGAAUUUCAUUAGUCUUUCUUUUUACCUUUAGGUAUUGUCCUUUCACUAUACACCCUUUUACAACUCCAUACGGAUGUCUCUCUAUUUCCCCAAUUAUCACUUUAUUUGCAUGUUGCGUGACCAAAACUUUCCAGAAAUCCACAGUUUGCUAGAGAAGAAAGAAAUUGAGUAAGGGAAGUUGAGCUUGACUUUUCAAUUUUGCAGAUUCAAGCUCGAAAAGAUCAACACUACUCUUAAGAUAAGCGCACUGGUCAAUCAGUCGUCCUUCAAUUUGCGCCAGUUGAAUAAUAUCAAUUAUCGAGCAGGUAGUCUUCUAUCUAUUAGAGUUUCUAUUUCCAUCCCAACAGUUUUACUUUUCUUACUUAUAUCAUAGCGUCAUUUGAAUUUUUACAUCAAUUGCAAAGAGCCAACAAUGAAAGAGAAUGAUUGCUUCUUUCACAUUUUUGCAUGCGCAAUAGCAUGGUAAGUUUUGGUACGCAUGAUUGCAAGACCAAAAUUAUUGUCUCUUGGAAUUGAGUGAGAUUAAAAUUAAAUAAUCCUGACGAUCAAAUACUUUAACAAAUUAUGUUCAUGUAUUUCCUUUGUUCUUUAUCAAUUUUUGCUAUAAAGGAAAAAGAUUCGUUUGGUGCCGGUUUGCCAUGAGAAUCUAGAUACAAAUCAGCCUGAUCUUACGAAUUUGUAAGCGCAUUUGUGCAUUCACCUGUUCAUGUAAAAAUCUCUGAAUUGUUAUACCAGGUUGGCGAUCAUUACUAUUAUUUUCCUAUUUUUCCAUUCUCUCAUUUUUUUUUUCUUCUUCUCUUGUUAUCCUCUUUUAUGAAUUAAGGUUCUAUUUAUUUUGCAAAAAUAAAUAAUUUAAAAAAUAUUUUCUUAAAAAUAAUCACUUAUAUCGAUAAAAAAAAUUAAUUAACAAAAUAUAUUAUCAUUAUCUGCAAAAAUAUUUAGACAUUAAUUAUUGUCUAAAAAAACCUUUUAUUGACUAAUUAUACAACAAUACAAGCAAUUAUUUUUUAAGAUAAUAUUUUCCAAAUUAUUCAUUUUUUGUGAAACAAGCAAAGCCUAAAUAUUGAUUUUUUUCUUCGCUCCUAUAAUCCUAUCAAAUCCAACAUCUAAUAUCUAACAAGAGUAUUUUAUUUUCAAUCUUCUUCUUGUCCAUGUAUGGGCGCCUGAAAGGCUCUAUAAGUCCUUCCGAAGAAAGGCUCGCUCAUUACACAAUAAAGGUGGAUAUUGAACUACACUAAGUGCAAAUAAAUUGAAAACAAGUAAGAUAUAGUUUCUUUCACCUUUCACCAGUCCGUCACUUACUUCCUUCAGUCAUUUAUUUUCUUAAUUUUGAUCUUUACUUUUCAAUUUUUCAUUAAAAAUUACUUCAUAUAAACACGUGCAAAAUCAUGUUUGAAUUGUUACUUCUCUUUUUUUUUUUUUAGCUGUAAUUUACUGUUUUUUGAUUUUGCACAAUAUUCAUUAAUGCUGAAUUACGUGCUCAAAAUAGCCAUGUUUAGAUCCGUGCACAACACGGGUACAAACACCAGCAUAAUAUACGAAAGCAGGGUUAAAGUAGCCUUAUGUUAUUGCAUCACGAGUGGAAAUACUAUUAGUUCUCACCUUUCGUAGGAAUAAACAUGAUCGAUCCACGAACACAUGCAAAGCUCAUAAAUAAACCAAAUACCUUAAUUAUGCCACUUAGUCUUCCAACAUUAUAUUAUUUAAUUUGUUAAUUUAACUAUAACUUGGUCUAAAUGACAAUAAAUCAAAAUCAAAAUUUGCAAUUUAAAUUUUAAUUUGAAUUUUUAAGGUGUAUUAGUCCUAUAAGUGACAAAAUUAAUUCUUGUUUUCCAUUAAUUAUAGAGUGAGAGUAAUCCAACCAUGUAGUGCUGUUUCAAGUUAGCAACUGAGCAGUAACGCCUCUCGAUAUGCAGAGUCCUUUCCUCUCAACUUGUAGAGUUCCUUUACCCAUGGCCACUCGUGGAAAUUGAAACCCUAACCCCACAGUUCACUUCGAUUUUCUUCGCACGCUUUUUUUUUUCUCCUUUAAUCGUCAUCUAGGUCGGUCUUGUUCUGCUUCUCUUCCGAAUCGCGGUGUUCGUGACAACUGAGAUUGUAUCCAGAGGUGAUGGCGGUCCGUUCUUGACGAAGAAGCCUUCCCUUCGUGCAUUCUCCCUCAGUCUCACUUGGGCGGUCUUAUUCUGUUUAUAUUCCGAAUCGCGGUGUUCGCGAGAGUUGCGAUUGUAUCAAGAGCUGAUGGCGGUCUGUAUUUGACGAAGAAGUCUUCCCUUCAUGCCUUCUCCCCUGUUUCACUUGGUUUGUUUCACAGUUCCGUUAUCUUCCCCUGUUUUUCUUGUCAUCUUAUGAGACUUCGAUCAGCGAUUAAUAUUUCAUGUGGGGUCUUCGCAUCUCUGCGACUUUACCUGAUUGUCCCUUACUGUGCGACUCCACUUAGUUGGCCCCUCUUUCUUUACUUGCUGUUCUCUUUGCGUCAUGGACUCUGAAGAAUAAAGUGACUCUGAUCGCCUUGCUGCUCUCUGUUCAAGAUUGGGGAGACUUACCACAGAGAAGAAUAUAGAUUGCUGGAACGAACAACCAUCACCUGCAAAAUUGGUGGAAUGUAACUUGAUGUUGGUGUGCAAAAUUUUGUCAGACCCUAUCGUAAAUUUCCCGGCAUUCCAGAGUACAAUUAAGAAGGCAUGGAGAAUUGACCGAGUUGAUAUCACACAACGUGAAGAGGGACUAUACGUAGCUAAAUUUCACUCUCUUGCAGAUAAACAGCGUGUUCUUGAUGGUGGUCCUUGGCUCUUUUCGGGUCAUCUAGUAAUUGUAAAGUCAUGGCAGUCUAAAACUCCCUUGCACUGUUAUGAUUUUUCCAGAUGUGCUUUUUGGGUUCAAAUAUUGGGAUUUCCUUUGGAAUGGACUACUGAACAGACUAUUAUUAAGGCUGUGCAAGAUCUUGGACGGGUAAUUGAAGUGAGAGUUGAUACUAAAGAGGGCAUGAUCUCUAGGACUGCUAGGGCAAAGGUUGUUCUGACAAUACAGGAUCCCUUAAGGACAGGUAAACUCAUUCGCAUUGAGGGCAAACUAUUCUGGCUUGACUUUCGAUACGAGCGACUUUCUCAUUUUUGUUACUCCUGUGGAAGGUUGGGUCAUUAUGCUAUGUCUUGUAGAGAGAUCCCCUAUGAUGAGUCAAAAUUUGAAGGACAGGAUACCAUGGUUUAUGGUCCAUGGCUGAAAGCAGAAACUAAACAAGCUAGUCCUUACUGGCAAUCAUUUUAUAACCCUCCACACUCCACGGAUGAGUCAGUAGAUAGUAUACCCGAGACGCCUCCUUUCCCAACUCAUGCUCUUGCCCCCACCACUCGUUACUGUUGUUGCACCAAAGAAUACCUCAGUACUUCCUUCAGACAAGCAAGUUACAACACUUGCACAUCAUGAAAAUCCUGAGAUCUUGAUAGGGACCCAACAUCAUACAGCACUCAUUCCAGCAACAGCUAAAUUGAAGGGGAUUUCUACCCUGCCUAGUGUUGGACCUGGUUGUUCUAUCCAGUCUGAUCCAAUACCUGACACAGCACACUUACCAAGCUCUCAGGCUCAGGAAUCUCUGUCUGUUCAAGCUAAGAAGUCCAAGGUUUCUCGUCCUGCUCCAAAGAUAGGACCUGCAAAAAAGAUAAGGCGUUAUAACCCUUAUGAUUUAAAGGGUGCUGGUCCCCCUAGUUUUGAUGAAUCUGUGCUUCUUGAUACUCCCAUUUUGGAAGCAUCUCAAGCUGACUUAUGGGUGACAGUGGUUGGCCCUCAAUAGCCACCACCUCAUCGAUGAAAAUUCUGAGUUGGAAUUGUCAGGGGUUGGGCAAUCCCCUGACAAUUCAAGCGCUUAAAGCCCUGGUGGCUAAAGAAAAGCCUAACCUUCUUUUUUUGAUGGAGACCAAACAGAGUGAGGUCUUUCUCCAACGUUUACACCACAGCCUCCAUUUUGAUAAUCUUCGGGUGGUCAGUUCGGUGGGUUCAGCUGGGGGUUUGGCUCUUUUUUGGAAUGACAGCCUCUGUUUGACUUCGCUUCAAUCGACCCCUUCUUUUUUUGACUUCUUCUGUCAUGAUUCUGAGGAUGACAACAACUGUCGUGUUACUUGUCUACAUGCUCCGGCGGUAUAUCCCCUUCGGAGGCUUUUCUGGCAAGAGCUGUGCAUGAUCAGCUGUGAGAAUCAUGCUCCUUGGGUUUGUCUAGGUGACUUCAACAACAUCCUUUACCCAUGGGAGAAGGUGGGCAAAAGACCAGCAGAUUUAUCCCGUAUGUCUUCAUUUCGUGCUGUCCUAACUGACUGUGCUCUAACGGACAUUGAAUCAAAAGGGUGUGCCUUCACUUGGUAGAAUAAUCGAGAUGGGGAUGAACUUGUUAGAGAACGACUUGACAGGGUUUUAUGUACUUUGAACUGGCGAUUAAAGUUUCCUUCAGCAGAAGCUUAUGCUCUCCCUGCUGUUGCCUCCGAUCACAGUCCCCUUCUAUUAUCUACUAUCGCUUCUAAAAAGCGAAGUCAGAGGUUUUUUAGAUAUGAAGCAUUUUGGAAUGAGGACAAAGACUGUCGCCAGAUUAUCAAAUCUUCCUGGCAUUCGGGUUCACUGGUGAAUUCGAGCCUCUCUACCAAAUUACGCCUAGUUGCUUAUGCUUUGCUUCGGUGGAGUCGUCUCAAAUUCGGGAACAACCAUACUCGCAUCACUGAAAUUCAGCAGCAGCUUCUACAAAUCACUAACCAGUCUAUGCCUCCUUAUGACAAAUCCAAAGUUAUGGCUUUGAAAACUGAAUUACAUAAUGCAUGGCAGCGCGAAGAACAGUUUUGGGCCAUGAGAUCUCGUGUACAUUGGCUGAAAUGGGGGGAUCGAAAUUCACAUUUUUUUCACGCAACUACAAUCCAGAGGUGACAAAGAAAUAAGAUUACGAUGCUCAGGGAUGAAACGGGGGAUUGCGUCAGGGAUCCUAGUCGGCUUCAGGAGAUGACAACUUCUUUCUUCUCAUCAUUACAUACCACAGUCGGAGCUCGCAACUUUGAACCUAUUUUAGAUCAGUGUCCUACAGUGGUGACGCCAGCCAUGAAUAACGCUCUAACGUCAUUGUUGACCUUGGAAGAAUUGAGACUAGCUACGUUUCAGCUGGGAGCAACCAAAGCUCCUGGUCCUGAUGGGCUAACUGAUCUUUUUUAUAGGACUCAUUGGGAUAUUAUCAAGGAUGAUUUCUUCAAAGAGGUUCAGCAUUUCUUUCUCUCAGGCCGUUUCCCUUUAACCUUAAAUAAAACAGUUAUUACUUCGAUCCUAAAACUCCCUCACCCUGAGAGUCUUGAUCAAUUUCGCCCUAUUAGUUUAUGCAAUUAUGCCUAUAAGGUUAUCUCUAAAGUGCUUGCAAAUAGACUGAAACCUCUGCUACCAUCUCUAAUUUCUGAGGAACAAUCUGCUUUUAUGGGUGGGCGCCAGAUACAAGAUAAUAUCUUGCUAGUACAGGAGGUUUUACAUCAACUUAGAUCUAAAAGGAGGAAGCACAAAUUUCAUGAUGUCGUCAAGUUGGAUAUGCGGAAGGCCUAUGAUAGAGUGGAAUGGGACUUUUUACAUGCUUAUCUACUUAAGUUAGGCUUUCAUCCAUUAUGGAGUACUCUGGUUAUGCAGUGUAUCACCACUACAUCUUUCUGUAUCAACAUGAAUGGCGAUCAGCUUAGGCCCUUUCAUCCUACCAGGGGCCUUCGCCAAGGAGAUCCUCUCUCCCCAUACCUUUUUAUCCUUCUAUCCAAUCUAUUAUCAUCUCUUAUUCAUAAUGCACUCGAUAUGGAGACACUCAAAGGUAUUAAACUCAACAGAUGGUGCCCAACUCUUUCACACCUUCUUUUCACAGACGAUGCAAUUUUCUUUGUAGAAGGAUCAGUUCGGGAAUGUCAAAAUUUAUCAAACCUGCUGAAUUAAUAUUGCUUUGCCACGGGCCAAGAGGUGAACCGCAACAUAUCUGGUAUAUUUUUUAGUAAAUCUUGCCCUACUUCUCUACAGGAAAAUAUGGCUAAUGCUAUUAGAGUACCUAUACUGCAACGUUGUGGGAAAUAUCUUGGUAUACCAUCUAAUUGGGGUAGGUCGAAAAGGGAUAUGUUCUCUUGGACACUAGCUCGAGUGAAUAAUAGAUUGGAAGGUUGGAAGGAAAACCUUUUCUCAAAGGCGGGGAAAGAGAUUAUGUUAAAGGCUGUAGUACAAUCCAUACCACAAUAUGCCAUGUCCAUAUUUCGACUACCCAUUUCUCUAUGUACCUCUAUUGAACAAAGAAUUGCGAAAUUUUGGUGGCAGAAUGAUAAACAACGAGCAGGCAUACAUUGGCGAAAUUGGGAGGUACUAAAACAGAGAAAGGCAGCUGGUGGUUUAGAGUUUUGGGAUCUCCUCAGUUUUAAUUUAGCCAUGCUGGGUAAGCAAGCAUGGCGACUACUUCUUCAGCCAUCCUCCUUAUGGGGUAGAGUUUUUAAAGGAUUAUAUUUUCCAACCACACGGUUUGAUGAGGCAGAAAAAGGCUCUCGCCCGUCAUGGGGCUGGCAGAGCCUUUUGAGUGGACGUGAUGCAAUUUUUUCCCUAUGUUUGCUGGUCAGUAGGAGAUGGGAGUUCCAUCAGAAUUAGGGAAGAUAGGUGGUUACCUAUAGGCAAAUUAACAGGACCUCCUCAACGAGAAGAGCCCACUUUAGUGGCUGAUCUUAUUGAUCACUCUACUAGCACAUGGAAGUACUCUCUACUCCACAGAUUUUUUGACUUCCAGGUAGUUCACUAGAUUGCAUCUAUUCCGGUACGACCUAGAUUUUCCAUGGAUAAACUUAUUUGGACUGCUACUUCUAAUGGCGACUACACAAUUAAAUCAGCAUAUCACAAUAUCAAACAUUCAGCAGAGCUUAAACUCAAUUGCGCACCCUCAUCCUCACAUCAACAUCCAUCUUUACUAUGGCACAAAUUGUGGAAAAUGCACAUCGCUCCUAAGGUACGACACUUCUUGUGGUUACUAUGUCAAAAUAGUUUAGCAACAAGAGUUAAUCUGCAUCAUAGGCAUAUUAUUGACAAUCCAAAAUGCCCUAUAUGUGAUCAAGACACCCCCGGAAACCUUGGAACACUUGUUCCUGUUCUGUCCCUGGGUUUUGCGUGUUUGGAGUAAUCCUUAGAUCAACCUCCCCAUUCAAACUCAGCAUAUAAGGAAUAUCACAACCUGGAUCAUAGAGCAUGCCGGUGAUCAAAAACCCUUACCUGGUCUUCCAAUGAUCGCCACAGUCCUUUGGCACAUAUGGAAGGCUCGAAAUGCAUUUAUUUUUGGAUGAAAACAUCCUGAUCCGCAUCGUGUAGCUGAAGAAGCAAUGCUUCAAUAUCGUGUGGAUUCUACUGUUGCUCGUUCUUCCACCUGCAAAGCUGCUUUUUUUCAACAUCACGGAACUAUAUGGAGACCCCCAGAUCCGGGGGUUUUAAAGUUCAAUAUCGAUGGAUCUUAUCAACUGGGGAGCAGGGAAGGGACUAUGGCUUGUGUGUGUCGUGAUUCGCAAGGACAACUUACUGGUGGCUUCUUAGAUAGCUUUGCUGCCUUCUCGGCUCUGUAGGCGGAGAUCCACGCUUGCUUGCUUGCUCUCCAUCAUUUGAUUGAUCAAGACCUCUCUCAUGUUGCGCUGACUCUUGAAUCUGAUUGCCAAACCCUCAUCGAGACACUGAAGGGUCAACGCUCGCCGCCAUGGCAAGAACGAAGCCUCUUCUCCGAAGCUGCCUUCCUGCUUUCGUUUUUUCCCAAUAUUUCCCUAGCAUUUUGUCGUCGUGAGGCAAAUGUUGUUGCUGACUGGGCUGCGAAGGCCCAUAGGGUCAAUUCCAAGCGAAGUAACUGGGCUUUUUUUCCCCCUCCCCCUCUUUUACAUCUUAUUUACGCUGAUGCGAUAGCUGCUGCUUGUAAUCGGUUUGGUCCAUAAAUAUAAUAGGUUAUGUUUGAAAAAAAAAAAAAGUUAGCAACUAAGCAAUUAUGUUAAUAACAUAUUUAUACGUGUCUAGAUUAUUAAAAUAAUUGAUAGAUUUCAUGAUGCUUCUUCAAUUACGAUGAAAAUAUUACCUGGGUGAUACAAUUAAAACCUUUUUUUUUCUAUCUUACAUUUACAUUAUCAUAUUUCAUUUCCUUUGUAAACAUGCGCAAGAAAUUAUAGAAAACAAAUUGUAUAAAUUAUUUAUACAUAUAAAAUCACUACAUAAGAUCUUAGUACUUGAAUAAAUUCUUGAGUCGAAGCCAAUAAUUAUUAGGUGCAGAUAAUUUUACUGAAAUCCUUACAUUUUGUUCUUAUUCUUUUUGUCAUAAAGUAGAACCUGCAUAUAUUCGAUGAUGAUCAAUGACGAAGUUCCUGUUAUUUGGUCAAAAAAUAUAUAUUAAUUGGCAUAAACUUCUAAAAAACUUAUGCAUUUUAUAGUAUUUUCCGAUAUUAUCUUACUUAAAUGAUAUUUGAAUAAGUAAAUCUCCAAACCUGGGUGACGCUAGGAUGUUCAACUUGUAGGGUAGUAAGAAGCACUGAAGCAGUACAAAACUGCUAGAAAAUGGUGUUAAGACAGCAAAAGAGCGAUAUAGACAGAGCUAAUAAUACCCAAUUUUAAUACCCCUCUUCAGAGCCUUUUUUAUGCAUCAAGAGAUGAGCCGUGGAAUAGUCACGACUGCAAACUUUUCAUGAACUAAAUGCCAAAAUUGAAUGUAGCUUUGCCCAAGAAAAUGCUAACAACAUGUUGACACUAGUCAAAGAUGUAGAAUAAAAGAACAAUAAGAAUGAUACAAGAGGGAUUACCAUUAUAGAACAUGGGAGAGGCCAAAAGUAGACAUGAUUGUUACCUUACUUCGUUGAACUGUUAUGGCUUCCUCGUCCCAUAGUCUGCUACAUUUCCAAGGCUUCUUAUUUGCUGGACAGGCAAUAGCUCUACCUAAAUCUCUCAAGUGAUCAUGCAUUCUCAACUCGUUGUUAUCAUCAAUUUUCACUAACGAAAGUUCAAUCAUUCUUUCCAAUCCGGAAUUUGGGCGAUAUUGGAGAUCCUCCCAUAGAUAGGUGGCAAAUCUUUUGUCGAUUCCAAUAAAGAAGCAUGCUAUGUCUAGAAACAUCUGUUGUUGCUCAUAUUCUAAUGAAUCAUAACUUAUUCUCAACUUUUGUUGUACAUUCGUAUCAGGCACCUUCCUCAAUUUCUCCAGUGUCUCUUUCCAUAUGCUUUGACAUUUUCCUUUGAGAAAUGAACCUAUAAUCACGAGAGCUAAAGGGAAGCCCUCCUGUGGUGUCAACAAUAUCACUAGAAAGAGCCACGAGUUCUGGUGGGGUCUUUUCCUCUUCAAAUGCAUAUCUACUGAACAGAAGCAAAGAGUUUUUGAGAUUCAUUUCUUUGAGUUUAUACCCUUUAUAUUCAGACUUCAAGAGGGCUUAUCUCGACAUGUAAUAAUGAUCCAACUUCCCAAGUCGAAAUCACAAUCUCCAAUCAAAUUAUCAAGAUGGUCUCGACGAUCCACAUCAUCAAGAAGAAUAAGUACCUUCUUUUUUCUACAAAUAAGUCGUAUCGUUUCAAUCCCAGAGAAAUGCUCACUAUGGCCACUUCUUUUUGUUAAGUUUGAUAUAUGUAGAGAUUGGACAUACUUCAUACCCUUGCUUUUAAUUGUUUCUCUAAUAUCAUUGAGAAUGCUAUGGCACUCAAAUUGUUUAGAAAGCUUUGUAUAGAUGAUCAUAGCCAGGGUUGUCUUACCAAUGCCGCCAAUUCCAUAAAUCACAAUAAUUUGAGCUUCAGAAGAAGCAUUAUUGGCUGAUUUCAUGGUUCGACCAUCCCCCAAAUUCACAACCCUAGCCACAUGAUCAUCAAUACUAACCAAGUCCUUAGGAAGAAAUGGUAGAAAAUCAUGUUGAUGCUUAAUCAUUAUUUUUUUGACGAGCUUUUUUACUAAUUCCCCUUCAUGCCUGUCAAACAAUAGAACAAACAACAGAAUAGGUGAGAACUUACCGAUGGCUCCACAAAAUAAGGAUUAAGAAUGAUAAAUAGAAAAUUUGUUCUUCUGACAACGGUAUGUUAAAAUGAGGUAGACGACGUACCCAUUUUUAGCAAAUUUCUCUGAUUUGAUUACUUUACGAUGGACUAAUUCUCGGAGAGCUACCAGCCCUUUUUGCUUGACCUCUUCGUCAAGUUUAUGCUCGUUGCGUCGGAACGCAUCUCCAAAUUUACUGUUCAUGUCUUACACAUCACCGGGUGUCACCUUGUGUUGACACCUAAAUUUUUGCAUAAUUUUUAGGGUUAAUUAUUGCUUUUAAAAAAAAAAACACACACACACACACACACACACACAUGGCAUAUAGUUUAGAAACAUUUUAUUUUAUUUUGUUUUAUUUUAGGCUGCCGAUGAAACGAGGAUUUUUCACAUAUUCCGUUCAGAUUUUUCACAUAUUCAAGUAAUAUACACUGCAGGGUGUAUUUUGCCUGAAAAGGGAAUUUUUCUUGAUGGAAUAUGCGAAAAAACAUUUUAACGAUAUAUUUAGGGAAUCGUGCUCAAUCAAAAUUAGAAAUGAAAUAUAUUCCUAAGAUACAAUUUUUGAGCUUAUAAAAGAGGUCACGUACGGUAAAUUGGGGGGCUUCUUUUGGAAAAAAAAGAACACAAAAGAAAAACAAAAAGGAGAGAAAAAAGGUGAAAAGUUGAAAAGUGACGUGAGAGAGACCAAACAAAAAGAAAAGAGAAAAAGGAAAGCCCCCACGUUACUGUUCAUCGUCUUCUUCGUGGGGGGUGUCUCCGCCUUCGCCAGCCCGCACCGUCGCCGUCUCACGAGCCGCCGCCCAUCGCCGCUCCGCCGGUGACCCGCGAGUCCGCUCCAUUCCACCGCAGCAGCCUCGUUCCGGUCCGACGCCGCCAUGCUGCCCCAGUCGACGAUCGCCACGCCGCCCGAGCACCACGAAGCCGCACGUGCCCCCGCGCCCAGAUCUCGAGUCGCGACGCCCUUGCUCCGUCCUGGAGCCCCCGACGCCAUCGUGACCUCCGAUCAGUGAACCGACACCAGGAGAUCCGAAGCCUUGCUCCGCCCGUGACGCCGCCCCUGACGGUAGCCGGUCCAGAUCCGACGCCGCUUCGUGCCGAUCCGACGCCGCCCCGUGCCGAUCCGCGACGCCUGCACCCAGACCUGCAAGUCCCCCACGCCGGUCUCCGCCGUUCCUCUUGUUGCCGGAGCUCUUCAGCCACCGGUUUGCCCUCACCGGAACCCUAGCCGACGAGCUCUCCCUCGCCGGAACCCUUCGCCGGAGUCCCAAAUCGGUGGUCAAGAUUUUCUUUUAUUAAAAAAAAAGAAAAAAUCGAAUUAGGUAGAUUUGCUUUAUUUUAUUGGGCUGGAUUAUUUUAUCUUAUUUUAUUUUUAUAUCUUGGUUUCUUUGUUUGAAAUAUUUCUCUAUGCAUAAUUGGAAAUCUUAAUAUGUCACUCGAUUCGCAACCGCGCCAUGAUUUUUUAUUUCAUCUAUAAGGCUUUAGAUGAAAUAAUUAAUCAAGUGGGAUUAAAAUUGAUAUUUUGAUUUUUAAGGCUUAAGAUCAAUUUAUCGAUUUUACUAGCGAAAUAUUAUCCCUUGAUCUGAACGAUGUGAGAUAUUUUGAUGAUUUUGAAUGAAUUGUCUCGUCUUAAUUGCCUUGUUUAUCUCGAGAUAUGUUUGAGCUAGAAUAUUGCAUGUUUUAGGGUUUACAUGUUUAGAAUAGGAAUUUUAUUUAAAAAAAUAAAAAAAAUCAAUUUAGGUUGUUAGAUUUUAGUUUGGAUUGCAUGUUUAAUUAUUCGACAAUUGUUAAUUUCGAAAUUAAACAAAAAAAACAAAAAAUCAUCAUGUACAUGUCAUGUAAUGUUAAAGCAUAUUUUGCACGUCAUUGCAUAUUAGGAUUAAAUGGAACUUAGUUUAAUUUAGAUCAUUUUUAAUUUAUUAUAAGUUUAGGCAUUUUUAGAUAUAUUGCAUUUUAGGAUUAUUUAGGUUAAGAUAAUAUUUUAGUUUAAAUUAGGAUAUAGCUCAACCUAAUUCCUAAUAUAAAUUAAAUAGAAUCUUAAUCUAAUUAGGUAAUUUUCACAUUUCACCAAAUUUCGAAUUUCAUGAAAAAUACAAAAAAUGUCAUAGGUUAAAUUAGUUUUAUUAUUUAGGAUAAAAUGCAUUCUUUUAGAAAAAGAAAAAAAUGUCAUGUGCACGUCAUUAGGGUUAGAUUCAUUGAAAUGCAUGUCAUUUAGUAUUUUUGCUAGGCCCAUUUAAUUAGAAAUUACAUGUCAUUAGGAUUAGGUCAUUUAGUUAAUAUCGCAUUGCAUAUUGCAUGAUUUUCAUUAAUUAAGUGAAAAAAAAAAAGAAAUUGUAUGUUAAUUAGAAACCAUAUCCAAGGUUAUUGAUGUAGAUUUUAAUUUAACAUUGCAGAUGCUUUCGUUGCUUGGAGGUAAGUUUUUGCAAUUUAUUUAUUGUUUAUCUGAGUGUUAAAUUGGUGGUUUGUGCACGCGCAUGAUAACCUCAUAUGUUAGGGAAAUAGAUUUAAAAUAAACCCAAGCUGCUUGCAAAAAACAUUUUUUCAAAAUAAAAGAAAUGGUACCGAAAGGGCGUUAGAGAAAUUUAGCGUAACCAAGUCUCCGUACCCAAAUUUCUGGUUCGUAAAAAUAAAGUAAAUCUCCCGUUACUUUAUUUGGGUUUCUAAUCGACCCACCAAAAUAUAGAUUAGUGGCGACUCCUAAUUGAAAAUCAUUUGCAUGUUAAGAACUUGAACCUAAAGUCGCGAAUUGGUAUGGGCUUGGGAGAGCCCGAGUUAAGUCUAGGCUUAACAAUUCAUUAGCCAAACCCUAGGUGGUUUAAACCCCGAAAAAAAAUAGGUCGCGACACCUUGUAGAGCACAAGAUAGACUUUUUGUUCUCCACUUUUCACGCACUCCAUUAUCUGAAAGAUCUCGCGGAGGCACCAUUCACUAGUAGCAUAAUUUUUUGAGAUAACUGGGAUUGAAACUUUAGAGCACUUGAUUGCAUUGAGAAUCAAGUCAAUUGACUCCCCAAUCUCGAGGCUGUCAUCAUCUCUGAACAUGAAAUUUGGAAGGUGCAGGCCCUCUCGUACAAGUUCAUGGUAGAGGUGAUCAACGAAGCCUUUUCGAGUAUCAAGACCUAUAAAACUUAAGAAUACGUGGUAAUUGUUUCCAAUCACAUCGGCGUACGAAGCAGAUGGCCCAGAAUUCUCUUCGGAAUCUGACAGCACAUCGAUCUCCUCUGGUGAGUCCGGAAGAGGCGAUCCGCUCCCGCGCUCAUCCGAUGGUCUUUGUCGCUUCCAAAUGGUCGAGCUCGAAGCUUCAGCAUCUGGCUUGCGUUUCCCAUCUUCCAUUGCAGUGCACGCUCUCUCUCUCUCUCUCUCUCUCUCUCUCUCUCUCUCUCUCUCUCUCUCACAGAGACGCGACUAUUAUGGAUGGAUUUGAGCGGGGAAUAAUUUUUGGGCUAUCUCUAUGCUACACUUAUAGCGGGGCAGGAAAAGAGGAAGAAGGGAAAGCAGGAGGCAAGGCAUGAUUACUCGACUCUUAUGUAUAUUUUAAUCUCUCACAGUACGUUGGUCGUUUCAUGUAUUUCUUACAUUCACACGUGGAAUCUGGAGAUAACUUCAAAUUUGACUAAAAGCAACUCAGUCCUUGCCUUCUUGUGGUCCUCACUACCAUUGGCCUUGACAACCUUCCCCAUUGUUCCCAUUGGCUCUCAGGAGUCUCCAAUUUUGUCGCGGAUUGAGAAUUGCGCUCGAAUGGAUCCUCCAACUCAUGAAUUAUGUCCCGAAUUGGACGUUACACUCCAUAUACGCGUCUCUUCCAAUAUUGUUAGGAUUUCGUCAGUGACCGCAGUAAGGUACUUGCUAAGUAAUCAAUCAAGAGAAAUUUACAUUUUUCAUUAACUGUUCAUAUGUAAUGCAGAAUUUUAUUUGGUCCUCACAGUAUUUGUACUCUCGUGUUAAAUGGAUAUGGAUGCAACAUGCUCUUAUGGGAGUGGGAUUUUUACCUUAGUGAAUGAACUUUCAUUACUCUUGAGCCUUCUAAAAAAAAAAGAUAAAACGCACCUUUUAUAUAAUUGACACGGAAUAAAAUUAAAUUUCUUCAACCCACCAUCGAAUAAAAUCGGUUCCUUGCAUUAUCACAUGAAAGAUAGUGAAAGAUAUGUCAAUCAAUACUUAUUAUUUGGACAAUUUUGAGUCACACGUUGCGGUUCUAUGUCAAUUUACGGGAUUUUUCUUUUCUUUUUCUUUUUUAACAUUUGUAUUCUCUAUUUAACAUAGAAUUUAUUAUAUAAAAAAAUUAUGAUUUACCCUCACCCCUUUUAAGGAUGUUCAUCUAGAAUUUAUUAAAUGCGUCUCGAACUAUGGAUUCAAAAUCAAACUCGGGCUCCGUAUCCACUUCCAUUUUUGCUCAUGAUCUGAUUAGUUUUAAGUGAAUUAAAACGCGAGAGAAAUCAAACGGAUAGAGGGGGUAAACAUCAAUUCUUCUUUUUCCCGAAACCGUACCCACGACCGAUUCCCCACCCCCACUGCGACGUAUUCGUGGGACCAUCCCAGUAUUUAUUAUUAUUUUUUUUUUUCGAUUUUCCGAAUUUCUCUGGGCCAGAACCGGGAAAUUCGGGAGUGGAACUAUGCAGUCAGAGGUGACGCAUGACUCGUUCGGCACGAGUAAGAGUGACGUCAGAGUUCGUAACGAAACGGUUUUUAAUGGCCAAUUUGAUAACAUGUGUUAGUUCUAUUUUUUUUCUCGAAAUAAAAAAAGAAUAAAAAUUUAUUUAGCAACUUUUUUGUUCCCGAAAAUAAAUUUGAAAUAGAAUCGCGAAAUAAAAAAGAGUUACUUCUGUAUUCACAGAAAACACUCUAAAAUCAAGCUAAAUCAUGUUUUUUUCCUUUUUCUUUUAUCUUCUUCUUCUUCUAACCGGUCGUAAAAAUAUAAUAAAUUAUUAAAAAAUUAAAGAAAUUUUGAAAAAUGCAAUAAAUUUCUAACAUAAAAUUAUAUUAAAAAUAUGAUAAAAUUAUAUAAUGAAAUUAAAAAUAUAUAUAACGCAAUUUUAAAAUAAAAUAAAUUUAUCAAACAUUAAAAGAGAAAAAUAUGAUAAAAGUAUUACAAAAUUAAAAGAAAUUCAAAGUCCUAAAAAAAAUUUAAGGAUUGUACUAAACGCAUUUCUAUUCUAGGUGUAAAAAUUUGGGCAGUUAUCAAAUGCCUUCAAAUGCUUGGAAACUCGUUUAGAGAAUAAAAUAAAAUAAAAAUCAUUUAUGAGCAAACAUUAUUAUCAAGAAUAAAAUGGUUACUAAACACACCUAAAGACUCCCAUACAAACAUCCUCAAUUUGAACUAAGAAGUUCCAUUUGUUACUGAAUCCUUUCGGAUGUUAAUAAUUAAACACUGAACACGUCAAAAUAAUGUCACGAAGGCACCGAUCAAGCAUACUUAAUUUGGAGUGAUUUCAGAUUACUGAUGGUGCAUGACACAUGAACAGUUGACGGAAAAUGUAAUCUUUCCUCAUUUGACUGCUUAGCAAAAACUGUGAAUGCGGUCGCUGACCAAAUCCCGACAAAAUUGGGAGAGGCACGUAUAUUUAUUAUGAAAUAAUUACUAUGAACUGAUAUAAUUGAUGUCAUUAGAUGAAAUAAAGUGGGUAAUUGACCUGGACUUAGUCGUUGCCUUCUAGGCAUCAUCUAGUGAAUGGGAGUCAACAGACACGAGCUGAUUAUAUUCUUAAAUAUACACCAGCAAUUUAGUUAGCCCGUGCUACGGAUGGAGCAUCGUUUAUGAUUUAAAUUGUAUUAGUCUUUUUUGGCCACAAAUUUAAUAUGAUAUCCAAAAAAAGACACAAAAGAAAGAAAGAAAAGGACGUGGUAGCUAUAUUGCCGCUUCAAUUACAUUACCAUUAUACCGGCCUAUGGACUUGUGCUAAUACCCAGGAAAAAGACCCUGUGAAAUAGAUUGCAUGAAAUAAUUAUUCUAGGAGUCUUGAUCAUCAUGAGAGUAAGAGAUUUUCGUCACAUUAGAAGUAAUUACAUGCCCCAUGAACUAAAAGGGAAAAAUUUUAGGUUCAAUGAAGGUGGAAAAAUGAAAGGGAAAUCUUUACAGAAGAAAGUUAAGAUAAAUAUCAAUCAAGAGAGGGCCGAGGACGCAUUGACGACUAUUCGACUCCAAAGAAGCCUGAUUGCACCAAUCGAUUCGUUCUGAUAACUAUGUUGCUCCCACUAUUUUGCAGCUCUUGCUCAUUUGAUUCUUGAUUGGAACAUCCUUAGUUUGGCGAUAUUCAUUCUGCUCCUGCUCUCCAUCGCAAAUUUCAGCACCAAAAUUUGCUUCACUUUCUCAGUUGAAGAACGCAACAAGUUUAGGGUUUGAAGAAGAAAAUAAAUUUAGCCCCAGUUCAUUAAUUGGUGGGCAAAUAACACACAUGGACAACAUAUUUCAGUACUAUUGUUGCUGAUUCACUUUAUCAGCAAGCCACGUCCAACAAUUUAUAAUAAAAUAAUGUUAUGUCGGAUUUUUCAGCUACACGAAUUGUCAACUAAAGCAAUCAAUCUUUCAUAUAAAUGAUACUUAAGUAAUUGAGAAAAUAAUUAUGUUAUUAAAGUGAGCGUCAUAAGAAAAUUAAGAUAAUCAUGGUAUUCUUAUUUCAAUUUGCAAUUGAAGGUAUCGAGCAUUUACAACUUCAAGGAAUUUUUUUGACCAAAAAGGAAGAACUCCUUUUUUCUUUUUUUCUUUAUUCCAUGAUCAAUCGACCUAUAAAGUAUAACAGGUGAGGAGACGCAUCUCGUAANNNNNNNNNNNNNNNNNNNNNNNNNNNNNNNNNNNNNNNNNNNNNNNNNNNNNNNNNNNNNNNNNNNNNNNNNNNNNNNNNNNNNNNNNNNNNNNNNNNNNNNNNNNNNNNNNNNNNNNNGGGACGAUGCAAGUCCUUAAGGUGCGGUCCAAUCGCUCGAUAUAUGGCAUAUGUAACAUCGGCGACAAAUGACAUCCCACCGAUCUGAUUUUUCGGGUGGCUUAUCGACAUCUUCGCGAAGAAUCCACCUACUUGAGUUUUAAAAAUAAUAAUUAUAAAUUUAACAAGAAAAGAAAACAAAAAAAGGGAGGAUGCAUAUACAAAUAUUAUUGAUUGAUAAUCUUUCAGUGGAGCAAGCGACAAAAUUACAUAUCAUAAACAAAAUUGAUCUAGCUGUACAGAAGUAAGUGACACCGAUAAUACUGGUGAUUAUGUCACGCGUAAGAUCGACGACAGGCCAUUUGUUUAGCCUUGGUUCGAGAGUCACCUCGUGGUGCGUCAAAAGACAGCCGAUUGUGUCGUUGUCGACAACUGAAGCCGAGCAUCGAGCUGUAUCCGUGGCAGCUCAAAAGCACCCCCGGUUAGCGCAAUGCUGAACGAUUUGCACUAGAAAAUAUGAGUGCUCGUGAGACUAUACAAUGACGAUCGAUUGGCGAUUCGACUAAUAGAGAACUGAGUGAUUCAUAUGAGAACGAAGUACAUGGAAGUCCACUGUCACUUUGUGGGUGAGAAAGUAGUGGGUGGAGAGAUUGAAAUGAAGUUCACCAAAACAAAUUAACAAGUUGAUGAUAAUUUCAUGGAGGGACAUAUCAAGAUCCAAGCUGGCAGAAUUUCAAAAUAGUUAGGCAUCACAAACAAGCUGCAUUAGAAAUCAAAGAUUGACACUCGCGCUGGUGUCACCUGACUUGUAAUGGUACCGAACCGACAUAGUGGGAGGCACGAAAUGAAGUUUUCUUUGGCCAAAAUAAAGAGUAGAAAAAGCACGGCAUCAAAUAGUAUAAGCAGCUUUUGACAGAUUUUGAAACAGGAUCCGUUUAUAGUUGCUGUUUCAAAGCUUCAUUCGCUAUGAGUUAAGCCAAUUUUGGAAAGUCCCAGUUACUCCAAUGUGAAUAUCUGGAUCCCGAAGUGGUUUGCACGAAGUAGUGUGUUAUGCCAAUCUUUGCCUUCCUAUGCUAAUAACCGCUACCUGCAAAAGGCGUCCUUCCAAGGUCCCUAGGCAAUGGAAAUGGAACGGGAUUCGACGAGCAUGUUAGCUGUUUGAUUAGGAGAGGAAGCUGUGCACUUUCAGAUGCAUUCUAUAAGCUACUUGCUUAGGUGGUCCAGUUAGGAACAUUCUGGGAAAACUACAAUCCUUUGUUAAGAAUAAGUUCCUUCAAAGUCUCAAGCACUAGAGAAAAAUUAUCAUUCAUAAAAAGUUACUGAUGAUGGGAGCCUAGAUGACUAGCACUCAUUCUCAUAUACAAAUGUUAUUCUACUAGCUAUAGAAAGAUCCCUCAUUAAUACGAGCCCAUUUACAAAAACCAUGCUUUCAUUGGUAAAAUUACUAAACAUUAGUAUCCCCAAAGGUAUGGGCAUUUGAGGAAAAUCACCAUCUUACACGUACUUUAUUUAAAUGAUAAUCAUCCAAAGUUAUGCCUUUCAAGGGGUAAAAUUGAAAUGAUUCUUUUAUGGCUGUCUUCCAAUCUUUUAUGUAUGUCAUUCACACGUUAAAUCUGGUCUGAUCUUAUUUUAAUGUACUUGGAAAAGAAGGAAAUGAAUUUUCUCAGUUCGUUUAGACAAAAGGCAAAAUUAGGUGAGUUUCAUGCACUAUAUUCAAAAUUAACGCAACUUGGUUGGCAAGUUGGCAAGAAAUUUUAAAGUUGGUUCUCAUCAUAUUUUAAUAACGAUGAUGAAGACAAACUGCAGAGUUGGCAAGAAAAGGACCUGCGCAGCGACAUCAAAUUGACUUUAAUAUGCUUUUUAUUCCGCUAAAGUUGCAUCAAAUUGACUUUAAUAUACUUUUAUCCCGCUAAAGUUACAUCAAAUUGACGUCCAUUAAUAUUUUAUCCAGCUAAAGUUACAAGUUUCAUCAAAUUGACACCUAUUAAUUUUUUUAUUCCAAAGAGCAGGUACUAAAAGUUACGUGUGACCCGUUGAAGUCUUUGUUUAAUGUUUUCUUUUGAGCAAACUUCCAGCUGUCGUUCGGUGGCCAUUAAAUAAUUACCAAAAAAUAAACAUAGACGGAGCUUACCCGACAUCCCACCGCGAAGGCGCAGUGGCUUGUGUGUGCCGAGACUCCGCCGGCCACCUGCUCGAUGGUUUUACUUGUACUGUUACCGCCUCCGAAGCACUAGAAACAGAGGCACAGGCUUUCAAUCUUACCCUUAAGUUUCUCUUGCAGAAAAGGAAGAAUCACGAUCACAUCCUGCUGGAAUCCGACUGCUCCGUGCUUGUUGAUGCCGUACGAAACCCUAAUUUGAUUCCAUGGAAACAAGAAGCUCUGUUUGCUGAAGCUCUGUCGUUUUUGUCCUCUUUCCCGCACCUUCAGAUCCAGCACUGUAGACGGACAGCAAAUUUCCUCGCUGACUGGGUUGCCAAAGCGCAUGGGCUCUCCUUACUCCCCUCUAAUUGGGUUGUCUCUCCUCCGCAUUAUCUGUUGGAUCUUCUAUUUUCCGAAGCUAUGUACAGUGGCUGUUCCAUCGUCAGUUAAUAUAUAAAUCUGCUGUUUUGACCAAAAAAAAAAAAAUUACCAAAAGAAAGAACUGUAUCUUCCUGGAUUUUUUUUUCUUUUUUGGUAAAUUGGGAUUUCGAAUCUUCAUCAUUUGUGUUUUUGUUGACUGAUUUGAUCAGUCACAAUUGUAUCCUUGAAAUCCAGGUGAGCACUCAGCACAAGCGGUAGCAACUAGGGGUUUGUAUGGUCCAGUAGGCGGUUUCCGACCGAGAAUCGGGAACCGUCCGCCAAAAAAUUGGAACCGGAAAUCACCCACUAGUUAUAUGGAUCCAUCCGAGAACCGGACCGCCGAUCUGAUUUGGUUUCCAGAUGGAUCCAUGGAACCGGCCUCACCAACAAUAAUAUCGUUUUCCAAAUCCUGCCGGGAGUACUUUUCAUAUCGAGUUAUAUUUUUCUUUAACUCGAACCGACUUAAUUAAAGGUACAAUUUUUCUUUAUUUUAUUGGAAAACACUACCAAAUAAGAGAAAUAGGCUUUUUCCUAUUUUUGAAUCAUUUAAGUUGAAAUCUAAAACAUUUUUUAAGUUCAAAGUUUUGGAUAAUUGUCAUAUGUAAAUAGUCUUUCCCUUUAUCCCCCUAACAAUGUUCAAUCUCUUACAACAUUUGCUUUGCUGAAUUAUUUUGGUAGAAACAAUUUCACCAGUACUCCACAUAUUCUUGAAUACACUGUCCUAUGUGUGUCCUGAAAAUAUCAUUUGAAUGAGCCAUUUGUAGAGUUGCUAAAAGGCAGUUUAUACACUUUACUAAAUUCUUAUAAAAACAUGGAAAUCAUGAGAGGAGAUGGAGCUCUAAAAUUUAGAUUUGCUAAUUAGUAAUUUUGAAUUUUAUUUUAAUAUUAAAAAAUAAUAUAUUAUUAUAAUAUAAUCGGUCCAGUCCAAGUGGAUGGAUCUACCUAUGGAACCGGAAACCGGAAACCGGAAUGGUACCCACCGGUUUCCAUUAAUUGGAACCGAGAACCGGACCAGUUCCCUCAAGAACCACGGGUUCCAAGCGGUUUCGAUUUGGUUCCGAGCAGUCUGAGCGGGUCCCGAUUAUUUUGCACACCCCUAAUAGCAACAUCAUUUCCUUUUUGAAAUCUCUCCUCUCGCAAACCUCGCCUUAAAUUCUUCAAUUCGGUAUCUUUUUUAUUUUGUGAAAUAGUACCUCAAAUUGAUUAAGAAAAUAAAGUAUUGCUCUGAUUGAUUGAUGAAGUGACUAUUAUGUCUAAUUAGAUAUAACUUAGUAAUUUAUGUUUAGGAGUAAGUUAAGUUAGGUGAACCCCGCAUUUAGUCAAGACAAUAGUAGAAUAUAAGGGUUCAAAGAUUUUCUUGAAAAUAAUGGAUGUAUAUGGCGUAUAAAAAAGGGACAAUUUCACCAUUGGUCACCAAUAUUCUUGAUGAAAGUUCAAUUUGAUGGCUGAAACUUUAAUUUUGUUUAAUUUCACUAUUUAUUCUUUGAAUUAGAUCAAUUUAAUUCCUCUAAUCAACUAAGUCAUGUUGGCCCCUAAUGUGAUAAUUCAUCUCCAUCGUGAGACCUGCCAUCGCUAGCCUGAUUGGGUUCUCUAGAGCCACAUCAGCAAAAUCUACAAACCAAAUGGGGAGAGAAUUGGGGGAGGGAGAGACAAGUAGGCGAUGGGAGAUGGGCAAUGGUGCUCGAUUCCUAAUUUUAAAGCAAUAUAGAUAUUGGAGUAAGUUGAUCUCAAAAUUUUUCGAGUAUGUGUGUGAAGAAGUGAGUUAAUUACUUUUAGUUAAAAUAAAGUGAUAAAGUUUGAAAGAAGAAAAUAAAAUCUUAAUGGAUUUGUUUAUCCAUAAGUUUAUGGCAGGUAAUAUGGUACGAGUACAUGAAUUUCUUUCAAGUCACUUGAUGUCUCGGGUAUAUGCUCAUGUUGACUUCCAUUAAUAUUUUAUCAAGCUGAAGUUACAAGUUUCAUCAAAUUGACACAUCAAAUUUUUUUAUUCCAGAGAGUAGGUGGUGAAGUUACGUACGACCGACUGGGGUCUUUGUUUAAUGUUUUCUUUUGGGCUAACUUGCUAGAGUAAGUCCUCAUCAUAUAUAUUAAUCACAACGGUGAAGAAAAACUGUAGAGUUGGCACGAAAAGGACUUCCUAGCGUCAUCAAAUUAACGUCCAUCAAUUUUAUAUCCUAAAGAGUAGGUACUGAAGUCAUGUAUGACCAUGAUCAAUUGGAGUAUUCCUUUAGUGUUUUCUUUUGGGCUAACUUCCAUGAGUAGGUUCUUAUCUCGUAUAUUAAUCACGACAACGAAGAAAAAUUGUAGAGUUGGCACGAAAAGGACUUCCCGGCGACAUCAAAUUGACGUCCAUCAAUUUUAUACCCUAAAGAGUAGGUACUGGAUUUAUGUAUGACCAUGACUAAUUGAAGUCUUUCUUUAAUGUUUUCUUUUGGGCUAACUUCCAAGUGACGUUCGGUGGCCAUUAAAUAAUUUCCAAGUAGAAGAACGGCAUCUUUCAAGGAAUUCUCAUCGUCAUUAUUUGUGUUUCUGUUGACUGAUUCGAUUGAUCCCAUUUAUUCCAGGAAACCCGAGCUAGCUCCCAGCAGGUCAUUUCCUUUAUGACAUCUCUCUUCCUCCCGCAAAAUCUCACUUUAAAGUCUUCAAUUUUACAUGGCUCUUUUCUCUCACAAAUUGUAUCUCUAACCGAUAUGUGGNNNNNNNNNNNNNNNNNNNNNNNNNNNNNNNNNNNNNNNNNNNNNNNNNNNNNNNNNNNNNNNNNNNNNNNNNNNNNNNNNNNNNNNNNNNNNNNNNNNNAAGUUGCCGUUACGUCCUCAGUAAUCUAUUGAGUUAGGUAAAUUCGGCAUUUAGUCAAAACAGAUAGUAAAAAUAGAAGUGUUCCAAGAUUUUGUUAAAAAUGAAGCAUGCAUAUAGAAUUUCAGAAGGGGCUAUUUCAAAAUGGGUCCCUAUAGUCAUGAUGAAAGUAAAAUUCUUCAAUUUGAAUCAGAUCAAUUUAAUUUCUCAGUCGUUGUCAUCUUGUGAUCCUCAGUCCGCUCCCUCGACGUCUGCUCCCUACUGGAUUAUCUGGCGGCGGUUAUAUCUUGGUGCUAAAUGCAGCCAAAACACAUGAGCUGAUCGUGUGGGUUGGCAAGGCAGGAACGUUUACCGUUCAUACUGUUGUCUUUUAGGAAAAUUAAACGGUCUAUACUUAUAUUACUACUAUACUAGCCUAUAGAUCCGUGCUACACAUGGGAAAAAGACUUGUGGAAUAGAUUAUUGGAAAUAAUUAUUCUACAAGUACAUUGAAUCAACGUGAGAAUAAGAGAUACUCGUAAUAUUAAAAGUGAUUAUUCUAGGAAAAUUAUAGUUCAAUUAAAGUAGAAAAAUGAAAGAAAUUUUUUUUCAAAAGAAAGUUAAAAUAGAUGUUACUCAUGGCAAGCGGUUCGUGACAAUCACCAUUGAAAAUCUUUUGGAAAAACCCCUUUACAUACAAGAUAGAUUCAUUAUAUCUAUCAUUAUAUUUAUACGCAAGACAUUUGAUUUUAUAAGAUACAUUCUAAGCUCUAAGAAAUUAAGGUUUCGGUUUUUGUGCAAGCACAUCAACAAUUUGCAUUUUACUAACUUAUGAACUUUAAUAAAGAACAUAAACAACAAAGUAAAUUACGGGACGUUCACGUUGCUACCUCAUCACUUUAACUUUUGGCCCAAAUGUUCUUAGUAUUAUUGGUUUUGCAAUUGGUAAAUCAAGCAACUUAUUAUAAUGAAAAGGUUUAAUUAUGUUCCUCAAUCCUCACUCUGUGGCAUGUAAUUCUUCAAGUGUACCCAACUUGCUAAAAGUGAGAAAAUGCUAAUAGUAAUAGUAAAUUAGUCAUUUUCUCACUUUUAGCGAUGUUCAAAAUUAUCAAGUUUUUCAAAUCCCGAAUAAAUUCAGGUAAUUUUCAAUUGGUGUGUCCAUAACAAGUUCAAUUUAGUCAACCAUUCCAACUUUCUCAAAUUUAAUCUGGGAUAUGAUAGGGACAUAAUCAACUCAGGCAUAACCAAUAGCAUUUGGAAAUCUCGUUCUGCCAAAUGACAUGCCGUGCAAUUUUGUGAGGUGUCCAACUCUCUUAAAGUCUAUAUGAGUUGAAGCAAUCUCUCAAGUUAAGGGUAGACAAAUUUACCAUAUGGCUAAUUGAUUUAGAAAGUCCAAUCAAUAUUUCGCAACCAUUAGGCAUCAAUCUUUACCUUCUUCAAUAAAGCUUUUCCCGCUAUCUUUUUCUUAACAUAAUCAGUGGACUUAUAAAAAGGUAAGGUGACGCCUAAUGUGAUUUUCCCAUCUACAGUUUAUUUUUGUGGGUUCCGUAUUUUCCCAGAAUUUUCCUCUCUAAUGUUUUUUUCCCUUCCUUUUUUUUUUCCUGACAUUGAACAAAGAAUACGCAAUUCUUUAUGCAUAAUGUAUACUGGCGACGGUGACAUCCUACACAUUUUUUCGUUGGCCUUACUGACAAUUUCGUUAAAAAUCCAUCUACUUGAGUUUUAAAUGAUAAAAUCAAAUAAAUAAUAAAACAAAAUAAAAAGGAAAAGUUGCAUGUACAGAAAUUUCAUGUUUGGUAAUCUUUAGUGGACCAAGCAACAAAAAAAGAUAUCGUAAACAAAAUCGAUCUAGCAGAUAUAAAUAAGUACAUGUCAGCUUGAAGGUGGAAAAGAUAAAAGAGAUAAUUGAUCUUUGUGAUGCAGAUUAGGCUAACGACUACGAUAUACAUAGAUCAAUAUUUUCAGGAAGGGACUUAUCGGGAUCCAAGUUUGUAGAAUUUGGAAAAUAGUUUGGCAUCUCAAGCAGGAUGAAGGUAGCAGAAGUUGAAGGAGAGCGUUACAAAUUAAAGUUGGAUACUCACACUGAUCCCCUGAUUUGUAAUAGUACCAAUUCUACAUAGUGGUAAGCUUGCAAUGGAGUUUUCUUUUGGCCAAUUGAGAACAGAAAAAUCAUGGUAUCAACUAUUAUAGUUAUUAUUCACAGGUUUUUGAAACAGGACGCUUCGAUAGCUACAAUUACAAGAACGCCCCGAUGUCACGAGCACUUGCAGAGAAUUACUAUCUCAUUCUCUUAUAACAAGUUAUCUACUGGCAACUCUUUGAGUAUUCCCAAAGGUAUGAGCAUUUGAGGAAAAUUACAAUCUCUCUAGAAACGCAACUGUUUGUGUAUUUAUUUCUUUUUCACUUAAAGAGUUAUGCGUAACCCAAGCAGUCUCUUUUUUGUUUCAUUAAAAAAAAGAAUUGUCUCUCGUAUUAUGACACAACUAACAUGUAAAAGAAUAACUGCCAAAAAGUCUCUUUAAUAAAAAUAGAUUAUGACCAAAAUAAACACAUUACGGCCUAAACAAAUUACACAUUAUUAAUGCAGAAAAAGCCAUGAAAGUAGGCAUAGAAAAAUUACUAUUACUUAAGCACAUUAAUGGUGUGGCUGUAUAUAUUAUCCGAAUUGGAGCUAAGUGAGUAAUAUUCGAGCUCCAUCAAAAAGCAAACUACUGAUGCUCUGACUAUUAGAGAGAAUUCGUUGAUGAACACUUACUUAUAAUUAAACGUGUCAAACGGAUGGAUUGGGUCAAUUUGAGGUAAGUUGAAAAUGUUUUUGAUUCAAAUUGGCUCAUUCAAUCCAUAUUAAUCUAUUUUAUCUAACACAACUUUCGCAACCAAUACUUGAUUCAACUCAUAUACCCAACCUGACUCGGGUUCCAACUCUUACCAAUUUUUCUCCUUACAAAUGGAAAAUAGCACACUGAAAAGAAAAAAGGAAAAAAAAAAAGAAGCUAACCAGAUAAAAAACAAAUUACACAUGUAAAAAUUAACAAAUAACAAAUUACAUAAAAACUUAAUGAAUCAAGUUAUUAGAAGACAUUCCUUGUUUUAUCUCUUGGUUCUAGAAAUUCGAUCUAAUUUAACGGAAGAGAUCGUGUCUGAAAAAAUAUAUAUGGCAUAAAGUUAAUAUGAUAUUCAUCACUAUUAACACAUGCAAUUGAUGAUUACAUAAAGUUUGUUUCCGGCCAUCGUAGUCUCCUCACCAUGAAAUUGUACAUGUGCUUUAAAUUAUACAAAGUUACGUCUUUUAUGUAUGUCAUUCACACACGAAAUCUUGUGUGCUCGUAUUUUAAUGCAAGGUUGUCAUAUUUUUAUCAGAAUUAACAAAAUUUGUCAUACUUUUAUCACAACGACGAAGACAAAAUGCAAGGUUGGCACCGAAAGGACUUCUUGGCGACAUCAAAUUGAUGUUCAUCAAUAUUUUAUUCAGCUAAACUUACUCAUAUUGCCGUCCAUCAAUUUUUUAUCGCAAAGAGUCGACUAAAUUAUGCAUGACCAUGACCAAUUUAAGUCUUUGUUUAAUGCUUUCUUUUGGGCUAACUUCCAAGCUGUCACUUGGUGGCGAUUAAAUAAAUACGAGGAGAAAGAACGGUAUUUCCCCAAGAUUUCGAAUCGUUAUUAAUUGUGUUUUUAUGGACUGAUUCGAUCAAUCACAUUUGUAUCCUGAAAACCCGGGUAGCACUCAGCAUGGUUAUUUUCCUUUUUGACAUCUCUCCUCCUCUCGCAUAAUCUCACUUGGAAAUCUUCAAUUUAAUAUAUCUCUCCCUCCUGAAAUAGUAUCUCAAUUCGAUAUAAAGAAAACACAGUAUUGCUUUGACUGAUUUUUGAAGUAUAACCUCAAUAUAAUUAACUGUCGAAGAACGAAGUGACUAUUAUGUCUAAUUAGAUCUACUUAGUGAUUUAUGUUUGGGAGCAAGUUUGAAUUAGGUGAACUCGGCAUUUAGUCAAAACAAGAGUAAAAUAGAAGCGUUUAAAUAUAUUCUUAGAAACAGACCAAUAUAUAUAUUCAUAGGAAAAAAAAUUCUUAAAAAUAAUGGAUACAUAUGACGUAUAACAAGGGGGCAAUUUUAAAGUUGGUUCCCAGUACUCUUCAAUCUGAUUGCUAAAGUUUAAUUUUGUUUGACUUGGCUUCUUUUUUUUUUUUUUUUUGGUUGGAAAAGCGAUUUACUUCAUUCAAUAAAGUUCAAAGGAUAACAUAAGUUAUGGGUUUUUGCACCUAAAAGAUCCCAUAGAGGUGAUGAUGGCACUAUAAGCCAAUUGUGAGGAAGAGCCUUCUUGCUAUAGGUUUUGGCGAGCCAAUUUGCAACUUGGUUUGAUUUCCUUGGGGCGGAUGCCGGUUCCACCAAACUGGAUCAGGCGAGCAUCUCUUUACAGUCUUCAAUAAUGGGUCUCAGCUCCCAUGGGCUUGGGUUUUGGCCCACUAUCAUCUUCACAAGUGAUAAAUUAUCUGACGCCUAUCUCCAAGUGCAAAUCUUAUCUCCGUCACUAAAAUGGAGAACUUACGCAAGCGAAAAGUAGUACCGGAUCCUUACCGCUCACUGUGCAAAGACCGGGCGGAAUCCACAUAGCAUCUCCUUCUCUCGUCCUUGGACGCGAGACAUAUGGGCUUAACCAUCCCUAAACAUUCAGGUUUCUUUCCAAGGGUUAAGCAAACUAGAGAUAGAGCUAACGCAAUUCUUCAAAAGCACAGAAAACGCACCUUCUCUGGCACUUGUAGCCCCAUUUGGUUCAAUUUUGGGGAAAUGGCUUUGCAUUUUCCCAAGUAUUUUGAGUGAAAGAGCAUUUUGGGAAUGCAAAGUGUGUUUGGGAACUCUUUUGCAAAGUAGUUUUGAGGUGAAAAGAAAAAGUAAAAAAAGAAAGGAAAAGAAAAGGGAGGAGGAGAUGUAGCUCUCGGCAGUGGGGCUGGUGGUGGUGGGGAGGCGGCUGGUGGCGAUGGAGAGGCGGCUGGUGGCGGUGGCGGUGGCAAUGGAGGAAGGCGGCUCGCCUGAGGUCGCCGACCUCAGGCGACGCCUGGGUCGCGCGACCUAGGCGACGCCUGAGUCGCGCGCCCUCAGGCGACACCACCUGAGGUCGAGUGACCCAGGCGACUCCGCCUGAGGCCGUGCGACCUCAGGCGACGUCGCCUGGGUUGAUUUCUCCCUCCGAUCCUUCUUCGGCCUCCAGGUAGCGUGCUCUUGAACUCACGGCUGUCGUCAUCUUCUUCCAAUCGUCGCGGGUCUCGCGAAGGAUUUUCUCGCCGUCGUCUUCUGGGAGUGUUGAGUGCCGCCGUCGCCGUUGCCAUCUGGGUGCGUCGCAUGGGUCGCCUGACCUCAGGCGCGACCCAGGGCGUCGCCUGAGGUCAAGCGACCCAGGCUACGCCCGAGGUUGCUCGACCUCAGGCCACCUCGCCUGAGGUCGCCUGAGGUCGUGCGACCUCAGGCGAGGCUUCCCGACGGCUAGAUCUAGCCCCCUGGCGGCCAGAUCUGGCCUCUCACCAGCUGAGCUUCGUGAGGAAGAACGAAGAAGACGAUGAACAGUGUUUUUUCGAGGGCAAAAAAGGAAAACAAAAUUAUCGAUAAGGGCAAUAUUGAAAAGAAAAAAAUUCAUUAAAACCUAGUCUAGCAUCCCGAAAAUGUUGAAAGCCCCUUUUAUAGUGGAGGGCCUCGGAUUACAUCCAUUGAUCUAGAAUUCUAUCGGCGGACGAGAUCGCACCGCCUCAACUACCGACAUAAGUACUUAACUACCAUCUACCGACAUAAAUGAAAGGGAACAGACUCCCGUAAUCUAGCUGAAUGACAUGUUCGCCCGUCCUUGUAAUUCGGGGAGAAGACUUGGUGGGAAUCCGAGUGAGAGCAGGAGGUCCACGGGCGACUUGGGGUCGACCUUGGGGAACCUCUCGGGUCGUCCAUUUCUAGGCCCGUGACAUUCUCCCCCACUCAAUCGAGCGACGUCCUUGUCGCUCUCAGCUUGGCGGGCAGCCUUGCGGGCUUUGGCACGAUCUUUCUUAUGCUUGUUUCUCUUCGCUCGGACGCUCAUGAACGAAGGGCCACAUCCUUCGAUGAUGAAGUCGGAUGCGCGCGGCUCGGUCUUCGGCUUGGACGGAGCACGCGGUGCACACUCAACCUCGGGGAAGAGUGCUUGGAUAGGCAUGGCGUGUGUUGGAGUCGGAUUCAACUUGACCAGUGGCUUCACCUCGGACAGCUUGUUGAUGCGCAUGACGGCCUUCAAGCUCUUGUCGAGGCGUCGGAUUGACGCGAUGGUCUUGGUGUCGACCACCCCUUUGAUCAUGGGGAUCAUCGACGGGCAUUUUUGAUCGAGGAUCAUCAUACAUUUGGUCCUCAUGUCGAUCAUGGCUCCCACACUAUCGAAGAAUUGCAUGCCGAGUAUGAGAUCAUAAUCGUCAAGAGGAAUUACCUCGAACGACAUUCGUCCCUUCCAUCCGCCAAUCUUGACGUCUACGUCGGGUGUUGCUCCAACGCCAUGGAAGUCGCUCAAAUUGAUGGGCUUGUACGACUUCCCGGACGGCUCGAUGUGUAAACCCAAGACCUUUGUGACCUCGGUCGACAUGAACAUGUUGGAUGCGCCGGUGUCGACCAAAGCGUAAAGCGUUCGGCCGCCCACUUCGACCUCCACAAAGAACAUGUCGGUGUUUGGAGCGAUUCCUUCUCCUUUGGUCGGCGAUCGGGCUUGGCCGGAAUUGAUCAUCUUCACAGCCCCGAUCCGGAUCUGCCGUUUGUCUUCUUUAGGCGCCUCCUUCUCUUCCUCGAUGGCAAGGAGGGCAUUGAUUCGACCCUUCUUCGGGCACUUUUGGGUCCAGUGCGGACCUUUGCAAAUAAAGCAAGGAGAGGGUGGAGGUUGAUCGAACUUACUCGCGUAGUCGAUCGGUGGUCGACCUCUUUGGAAGGACGGCUUAGAAGUCCCUUCUCCCCACAUCUUGGCUCGGCCGCCUUGAUCAUGCGCGCCACGGGGAGAGCUUCUCGUGUCGUCUUCGGGUCGAUCCGACCUCCAGUCUCUUGCUCGGUUGUUCCUCGGCUCAACCUUGGUGAGGUCGAUGAGAGACUCGGCCAUGCUUAGCGCACGCGCUAGGCUAUUCACGUCCCGCCGCUUCAGCUCAAGUUGUGCCCAUGGCUUCAGUCCAUCCAUGAACGCUCCGAAAGCCUCCUCUUCGCUUAGGUUGCGAAUUUGGAGUUUGAGCUCCGUGAACUCCUUCACGUAUUCUCGGACCGUACCUCUUUGCUCGAGGCGAUGGAGCUUGCUUCGGGCUUCUUGUUGAGCGAACUCGGGGAAGAAAUAGUCGCGGAAUUCCCUCACGAAGUCGUCCCACGUGUUCACGGGAUCGGCGCCUCGUCGAAUCUCAUCGCACCUAUUACGCCACCACAGCAUCGCCGUAUCAGACAGGAACAUGGAAGCGGUUCGUACCUUGAUCGACUCGUCGUGUAUGUUGGCGGCGCCAAAGUACUGCUCCAUGCUCCACACGAAGUUGUCCACCUCUUGGGCGGACCGGUUGCCUUUGAACUCCUUGGGCUUCGGAACCUCAAUCUUGGUCACCGUUUGAGCAGGCACCGCACCAUUCGUGAUGCUAAGUUUACACAGGGCGAGCUCGGUCUUGAGUUCUCGGAUCUCCGCCUUCAUGGCUUCGACCUCAUCCCUACACGGGCUUACCUCUUCGAUUAUUUGGACGCGCUCGUUCAAACCAUCGAUCGAUGCUUCGAGAGCUUCAUCCUUAUCGAACAAUGGAGCCGUGGCUUGGUUGAUGCCGGUCGUGAAGUCUUCACGGAGCGAGCCCUCAACCUCCAUGAUCCGAUCUCGCACAUCGUCAAGACCUUCCAUGAGUUCGAGCACAGCACUCCGAACCUUCCCGAUCUUUUCAUCGAACGUGGCCGCAGCAUCCACCGAGGCGUCUCUCUUCUUUGAUUUGCUGCGCGUGUCCUUGACUGGCACAGCCUCUCCAACUAUGUUCGCAUCUUGGCUCGACAUUCCUUCAAACAGUUGGUGCUCUUCAAUCUCUUGGAUACGGAUCUCUCUUUAGCUCUGAUACCACUUGUCACGGGCCGAUCGAUAGGGAUCGUGACCGCGCGGCGACUCGGGCACUCUAGGAUCGGGAUGGAUCGCCAAAGCGCCUAAGCCAAGCCUUACACAGUCGAACGCUCACUCGCUCGCCUUACCCGGAUCGUAGAGAGAGAAAGUAUCUAGAGAGAAGAGCUCUGGAAAGAAGACUUGCUUUGUAUUGCGGAAGUAGUGGAUGUUUACAAAUGAAGGAGGACACCCCUUUUAUAGUGGAGGGCCUCGGAUUACAUCCAUUGAUCUAGAAUUCUAUCGGCGGACGAGAUCGCACCGCCUCAACUACCGACAUAAGUACUUAACUACCAUCUACCGACAUAAAUGAAAGGGAACAGACUCCCGUAAUCUAGCUGAAUGACAUGUUCGCCCGUCCUUGUAAUUCAGGGAGAAGACUUGGUGGGAAUCCGAGUGAGAGCAGGAGGUCCACGGGCGACUUGGGGUCGACCUUGGGGAACCUCUCGGGUCGUCCAUUUCUAGGCCCGUGACAUAUGUCUCGAGUUGUCUAUUAUAACUUUCUCACAUCACCACCGCCAUACAACCAUGCCCAACAAAGUUGUAUGAAAAAUGAUAUCUAUUUUUAGAAAGAAUUUCACUCCAAGUUCACCUCAAGACGAUUUUCCAAUGAAAAUGGUAUCUACUUUUGUUCCAAACCUGAUUCACCAUUAGAAUCGACAAAUAUAAUUGGAGAAGUUUAUCAUUGUUAAGAAAUUGAUUUUCUUUUUCUAUUGACUACUUUUGAUAUAUCCUAGGUUAAUCAUCUUGGCUUCCAACUUUUUGAUAAUAUGUUAUGAUCUUUUCGAGGCAUAUUUCUGCCAAAAAUAAAGAACUGAGAUGACUGGACAUUCAAGAUCCAACUAUGCGAUCCUUUGAUGACACCAAUCAUUCUCAAUAAUCUUGGCUUUCUCGCAUCUUUAAUCAGCCUAAUACUUGACUUGGAGGAAUCAUCACUUUCUCUAGGACCCUUUUCUUCAAAUCAAUUUUGAUGUCCUAGGCAUAUUUUUAUGAUUGGUAGUGAGUAUUUUUUAGCUGAUUCCAAAAGUUAAAAUACUCUGAUUCCAUGUUAUGUUAGGAAUUUCACAUAUUAUACUGUUUGACCGUGUUAAUGAUAGAAAGUGUUAAUGAUAGAAAUGAUAGAAUGUCUUCCUUAGAAUUGUAUGGAAUCACUUGUAUGGGCAGUCAAGCUAUUUCUUUUUCACUGAUUUCAAGAAAGGACGCAUUCAUUGUUGCAAUUACAAAGCUUCAUUGUCCAUGUUUUUAAGCCAUUUCUAGAAAAUCUCAAUUCUACCACCGACAGCGUUCAUAUUUUGAAGCAUAAUUCUCAAUGUAGCGUGCUCUGCUAAUCUUUGCCUCCCCUGUAAUUCUCAAUAGAAAUACAACUCUUUGUGUAUUUGUUCCUUUAUGUAACCUAAGAAAUCUCUUUUUGUUUCAUUAAAAAAAAUAGCCACUCGAAUUAAAACGAAAACUAACAAAUAAAAGGAUAACUAACAAAAACUCUCUUUCGUAAAGAACAUGGUUAACUCAUAAUUGUGGAACUAUACAACUGAAACUAUCCAAUUCACCCAAAACAUGAUUAUUAAUCACAAUAAUUAUAAUAAUUACCAGGUGCAACAUUUUUUCUUACUCAAAUGAAUAAUGUUGUAGAGCAAAGACUGUAGCAGAAAAUGUGAAUCCGAGUUAUGCUCAAAUAUCUAGCGAUGCUUGCUCUUCUCUAUUAAAAAAAAAAAAAGAAAAUCAUUUUUUUCGGGGCAUGAUGCAAUGAAGGAUUUGUCGAUUAAAUUGGAGCUUCUUCUUUUUUUGUGGUUGAUUACUUAGUAUUGAACAUAAAAAGAACUCAUUGAAAAUGACACAGUGCCUCCAUUUCUGAGAUAUGGCAAGUAUUGUGGGCUCCUGUACAGCGGAUGUCCAGAGGAGAGGCCCUACAACGGCCUUGACGCUUGUUGCAUGAAGCACGACGCCUGCAUUCAAGACAAAAACAGUGAUUCUCAGCAUCGAUUCCUUCAACUUUUCUUCAUUGAAUUGAUUGAUAUAACUAGUCGCUGGCCCGCGUGUUUGCAUGGAUGUAUUUUAAGAGGACGAUUGUGGAAGCCAUUUUCGCUGGUGAACAAUAGCUUCACUCGUCUAUAUAUGCAUGGAUUCACAUUCCUAAAAAAGCAUAUUACAGAGUGGAGAUAGAGAAAAUGGCGUAAGGGACUAAUUGGUCAAAAGAAAGAAGAGACAUGAGUAAGAUUAAUGUGCCUACGAGGACUUUGCUCUUCCACAAUGUCAUUAAACUAUCUCUUCAUUCAUGAGCCAACUUUAAUCACUAUUCUGAGGUCUGGGGGAGGAGAUUGUGAGGGAGUAAAUGCUCUUGUGAGGGCAAUGACAUCAACAUUUGCUUUUUAUUACAAAAAGCGCAUGUCUAGAUUUUCUCUUUCUCAUGGACUGGUCGGGGAUAAUAACUUCAACUAAUACUCUGGCUUGUCAAAUGUGCUAAGUGAUGGCAAUGAAAUCAUAUCGCGUGAUUAUUCAAUUUGACCUUUCAUUCAUAGAGCAGGUCGUGUCAGCCUCAUAGAAAUAUUGGAAUUGUGAUGCUCAGACCUGGCGGGGUGUUGUGCAGAUGACUAUUUGAGCCAGAAGUGCAGCCAAAACUUACCGAACUGCAUGACGAACUUCAAGAACUCCAGAGGAAGAACGUUUAAAGGAAGCAAAUGCGAAGUCGAGGAUGUCGACGUCCUCUCCAUUGUCAUGGAAGCUGCGUUGCUUGCCGGGAGAUACCUCCACAAGCCCUGAAUCUCUCUGUCCACGUUCCACGGAUAUAUCAACUCUGAUCCCUUCACUCACUUCGUGAUCAUCCCUUUCUUCUUUGAUUUUUUUUCCCUUCUGGCGGUUUGUCACCACCAAAUGAAGAACGAACAGAAGGAUGCAACUUCGACACGUAAAGGCAUGACGAAAAAAUAAGAGAGCGCAACAUGAUUCCUACCAGUUUUUCCACCGUACACGAUGCAACUUUUGACAGGAUCAAAGCCAUAAAUCCACCAUCAGAUUGAGAAAUCUAUGUAUUAGCAUCUCAAUUGACAAAGAGGGCAGAAUCCAUGGAAAUUCAACAUCUCAACAUCAGUGUCUUGGAUCUGAGAAAAGUAAAAUUCUUACGAUGGUGCCUCCAGUGACUUAUCAAUCCAUGACUAAAUAACUGGACAUAAGCUGCUAAAAAUGCAAUCGAAGCCACAUAGACAUGAGUAGUUGCCAGGAUCAAUCAAUUGCUAAAAGUAUUAUUUGACAUCAGCUGAAUAAAAGGUUUCAACAGGGGUUACAUACAUUGAGUCUACCUCCAACUAAUACUUUAAGCCUUUGGUUGGACCUUUUGCGAACGAUGAAUGAAGUUCUGUUUUAUUAUGCAUUAAUGAAUGAAAGAAUCACAUAAUAAACAUCUGGUUCUCUAGGAAACCAACUUUAAUAGAGCUUGGAAAAAAGUAAUAAUCUGUUUGCAUAAGAACAAAUUCAUGUCAAGGAUGAAGAGUCUUACUUUGUGACUGGUGACGUAUAAUGAUAUGCAAUCUACUUCAAAGGCAUUCUUAUCUAUUUUCAUUCCCACCAGGAUCACAAGCCAGAUGAUGCUGAAGCAUCACAUUCAAGUGGUCGACCAAUUUCCCCAAGAUUCGUUGAAAUAAGACAGAAAACAAUAAGACAUCGACAUGAAAAGCCCCAUGCCAGACUGAAAAUACUAAUGUGAGAUGGGUAUUCUCAACUGAAUAUGAUAAUAAAAGAACGCGAUUUCUCUCGUCAGGAUUCAAAGACACGCAUCAAACUACUGUGCAAGUGAUAAUAAAAGAACAUGACAACUAUCUUCCAAGUCAAUUUGCCCUCCUAAUAUUGCCAGUGAGCUAUUCCUAUGUCAAGAUUACAGUUUUAGUAGGAAGUCCUCGCUCCUGAUGCAGUGCCAUUUAAACACUCCACAGAAUUAAAAAUCAUAUGCACAGCUCCUCCCACUUCAUUUCAGAGCCAUAAACAGCUGGGUAGUACUCGUGCUCUGAAGAUUUUUUGUCCCCACCAUCAGCCUAGCCAAAAAUGGUGCACAUUUCUGGCUGAAACCAAUUCCAUACAGUGGCAGCUGUAACGAAACAUUCUGAUUUGAGCUGUAGUUCAAGAAAAUAUGGCAUUUAGAGAUCUAGAUCAGCUCUCAAACAUUAAACGACUAAAGCAAAUCACCUUUCUAGCCACCCAUUGAUUACUAGUCAUGUUUAUCCCAAAAACAUGAAAGCAAUAUGGUUGAUUUAAGGACUUCCUGCAUACUUCUGGCUUGGAUCUCACACUGUUAUCCACAAUACAGUGGAAAUCCUCUGUUCUUCUAAAGCCUCUAGGGCAUAAACAUCGUCAUCACCAAACAAUGACUAAACUAAAGUGAUAAAUUGCGAAUAAUGUUAAGAUACAAAUUUGCAAGACGAUUUAUACCUGCAUGAAGCAAAACAAUGAAAGAGCGGCUGCAUGAUUUGUACUGGAUUUCCACUGUUGAUGAUAACACUUUNNNNNNNNNNNNNNNNNNNNNNNNNNNNNNNNNNNNNNNNNNNNNNNNNNNNNNNNNNNNNNNNNNNNNNNNNNNNNNNNNNNNNNNNNNNNNNNNNNNNNNNNNNNNNNNNNNNNNNNNNNNNNNNNNNNNNNNNNNNNNNNNNNNNNNNNNNNNNNNNNNNNNNNNNNNNNNNNNNNNNNNNNNNNNNNNNNNNNNNNNNNNNNNNNNNNNNNNNNNNNNNNNNNNNNNNNNNNNNNNNNNNNNNNNNNNNNNNNNNNNNNNNNNNNNNNNNNNNNNNNNNNNNNNNNNNNNNNNNNNNNNNNNNNNNNNNNNNNNNAAGAACGAAGAAUCUCAUGUUACUUGACUGAAGACAACAGAUAUCCUUUUGGAGGCAUUCUGACCUUCUAUAUUCAUGUCAUGAUCACAAGCCAGAUAACACUAAAGCAUUACAAUUACUUUGCUCAAACAACUUCCUCCAGUUGCUGGAAUUAAGACAAGAAAAUUAUAACGUGUCAAAAAAAAGCCCCAUCCAAACUGAAAAUACUAAUGGAAGCAGGUUAUCUCCACAGAAAAACUACACUAUACCUGCUAUAUUUUUUGUUCAGUAAAUGACUUCAGCGAUCUCCAGCAACAGAUCUUAGUCAUCCUCCAUAGAAUCUGAAUAUUCUUCAUAAUCCUGAAAGCAGAGCAGGGUUACCAAGUCAAUCUUUUUGGUGUUGCUCACAUCAAAUUGUAUCCAGUACUAUCAAACGUUAGAUCUAACGAUAGACAGCAAACCUCGGUCAGCUUCUCGUUGUUGCUUUCCUCAAUAAAAAAAGUCUGGUAAUUUCUUGAGUGACUCGCACCCACUCCUAUCAAAGCGCAGGAAUUUACUGGGGCAGCGAAUUUCAACUAAGCUUUUGCAAUCCCUAACAUUCAACCACGUUAGAUGCUCCGACUUUGAAAGGUCCAGUACUUGAAUGUGCUUACGCCAAGAAAUAUCCACCCAUUCCAAGGAUCCCAAUUUUUCAAGGCCUUCUAUCACAUGGAGAUGAUCCACCUUUUCAUCAAAUGAUAGAUAUAGGCACAACUUUCUUAGGGAUUUUAAAGAUUCCAGUCCAUCCAAUUUCUUCAGCCCAUUACAGGCCGAGAGCCCUAAUUCCGACAAAAAUUCCAAAUCUUUUUGAUUUGGAAACCUUUCCACUUUGGGACAUUUAUUAACGUCAAGUAUCCGUAUGCAGGAGGGGAGCUUUGGGAUCUCUUGAAGAGACACGCAAUCCCAAAGCCAGAACUUCUGUAGAUGCUUCAGGCGAGAGAGCGAUGGGAUGCUUUGAAGAGACCCGCAGUCGCAAAGGUAGAGCUCUUGUAGAUGCUUCAGGCGAGAGAGCGAUGGGAUGCUUUGAAGAGAGUCACAAAUGAAAAGUUGGAGUGUCUGUAGAUGCUUCCGGUGAGAGAGCGAUGGCAGCUCCUUGCUCCGACCGGUGAGCCCCAGGAAUUUUAAGCUAAAAGGAGGUUUUGGGAGUGACUCAAGCUCUUCACACUCAUCUAAUUGGAGGUGCUCGAGAGAAGAAAGCUGAUCUAAGUUUUCCGGCAAGCCAGAAAUUUUUGUGCACUGUAAAUCAAGGGUUUUUAGAAAAGACAAUCCACCUUUAUCAAGGAGAAUCCGUCCUUUUAGUUUACGGCAUGAGGAGGCAUCGAGCUCUUGGAGGCUCUGCAAUUUUCCAAUAGAGCUCGGUAUCCUUUCUAUCUCACAACCCUGAAUUUUCAAAAUUUUCAAUUUGUUCAAUUUGCCAAUGGAUUCAGGUAGUUCCUUAAUCCUUGUACCUGACAAGUUCAGCUCAACCAACUCUCCCAACUUCCCAAUUGAAGAAGGGAUCUUUUUUAAUGACAAAUGUUUUGACUCCCAAUCCCACUGGGCACUAAGCCUCUUCAGAUUCUUUAACGAUCCUAUACAUGAAGGGAUUUCUUUUAUCCGAGUCUUGUCUACGACAAGUUCCUCCAAAUGUUCUAGUUUGCCAAGUUGUUCAGGUAACAUCUUGAGACUUCUACAACCACUCAAGUUCAAGAGAAGGAGGCGCUCGGCAUAUUGAAUGGAAUGGUCGAUUUCCUUCAAAUUGGCACAACCUUUUAGGAUUAGAGACCGUAAAUUUUCAAAAGUGGAGAGAUUAGGGUUGCUCUUCAAUUUCAAGCACCGCGAAAGAUUGACAACUUUCAACCUCUCCAUCUACAAGAAAGAAACAUGUUUCAAGAUUAGCAAUUAGAAAUAUAAUGAUUUAUCAUCAAAUGUAACAAAGAAAAAGCCUUUUUUCAUAUUUACCUUAAUUGAACUCCAUCCUCUCCAAUUUUCACUAACACCCCUAACACGAUCGUAAUGAACACCAAAUAAAUCAGGUAUGACUAAUUUGGUCAUCUCCAAAGAGUCGUGGCAUCCCUCCCACUCUAGCCAUCUUAAUUCAGUGAGUGAUUCUUCGAAAUCUCCACCAAAAUCCACAUCCUUCACAUGAAGGAACUUCAAGUUAGGCAUUUUUUUAAAGCUUUCUCGCCUCAUGAACUCUUUGGAGCCCCUUUGGUCUAGACGUAGUGCCUCAAUAUUUUCAUUUUCCACCUACAAAAAGAAUAAAAUAAAAUUGAGGAUUGUAAAUACCAUUCGACCUCCUUUUGUUCGUAUACUCUUGCAUGAUAUUGUGACCAAUGCAUUUUGUCUACACUCAUAGAGAAAUAGAAAUAUAUCUAAUCUUUUACAAUUACAUGAUCAUAUAAUACGUCGAUCUUCACUCGUAUGCCCCAAUUUUUUAUGUUUUAUGUGAAACUCCAAUAUUAAAUUAGUCUGGUUUUCUUAUAGAUUUUGAAAUUAAAUUUUGUAACAUACAUAGUAUUGACAACCGAUGUCCCUUUGACAUAUAUGGAACACGAUUGUUCCAUGACACGCGAAGAGCUCACAACAAAACUAAAAAAUCCUCAACUGUGACACUUCCUUUAUAAAUUAAUGUAUCUUGAACAAUCUUCCAUCAUUAAUUUAUGUAAUUUGUUAAUUUGACUAAAAGUGACACUAAAAGAAAAGCUAAAUCCACAACUGAAAAUUUGAAUUUAAUUUUUUUAAAAUUUUACUAGUGCUUUAACUAACAAGAUAAGUAAUGAUUUUCUAAUAAUUAUCGAGUAAGCGUCAUCAAAUUAUGGUGUGUUGUUUCAGGUAAUCAACUAACCUAAUUAUGCAUUUCUAGAUUAUUCUAAAAAUCGAUAUAUUUCAAGGUGUUUCUUCAAUUAUGUUAAUGACAUUCACUAAGUCAUACAAUUUAGAGUAAAUUUUCAAUUUUCUUUUUGUUAAGUACAUGCAAUAAUGCAUUGACAUUAUCAUAUUGGAUAUAAAUUGUGAACAUGCAUGGCAAAUCCUAAAAAACAAAUUGUAAAAAUUCUUCGUACAAAUAAAACCACUGCAUAAGAUCUUAUUACUUCAAAUUGAACAAAAUCUAAAGUUGAUAGCAUAGUUAUGAGAUGCAAAUAAUUGAACUAAAAUCUUUCUUUUUGCUGCCAUAAAGUAGAACCUGCGCUCGAGCAAAUAGCAUAUAUUCACGAUUGAAAAUUAAAUAUGGGAUAAUGCAUUAGAUUCUUGAGAAGGAUACUAUUACAUAUAUCAUACCAAAGUACAUUUCAAGACUGAAAAAUGUGGAAAAUAUGUGAUCCAUGAAUUAAGCAGAUCCAUUUAGGUGAAAAAGAAGAAUAAGAAGAAGUAAAUUUGACAGUUUAACAGGUGGUUAUAUACUCUUAAUUAACAUUUAUCAACCCAAUAUUUAUCGUCACAUCAAUGUACUUCAAAAAUUAAAUUCCCAAUAUAUUUUGGGACGAUAAAAUGAAAAUAAAAUAAAAUGAAGAAGUAAUGAUUGACAGUAAAGUUUUUGUUAAAUUUGUAAUGACUUAUAUACAUUUUAGAGCCAGAUAUAAGUGGCAUAAAGUAAAUUUUCGACCUGUGUGCUUCAACAAGUAAUAUGGUAAGAAUAAGUAACAUAUUUGCUAAAAAAGGAUGUGAAUAUUUUCUGAGUCUCAUAGUCACGAGUGCAAACUUUUCAUAAACUAUGGGCCAAAAUUCGAUGUAGCUUUUACCAAGAAAAUGCUAAUCACAUGUUGAGAAUGGUCAAUGAUCUAGAGUAAAAGAACGAUGAUGAUAAUAAUGUAAGGGACUACGAUUGGAGAACAUGGGAGAGGACAAAAGUAGACAUCAUCAUUACCUUUUGGAGAACAUGGGAGAGGACAAAAGUAGACAUCAUCAUUACCUGACGACGUAGAACUCUCAUGACUUUCUCCUUGUCCCAUAGUCUGCUACAAUCCCAAGGCUUCUUAUCUGCUGGACAGGCGAUAACUUUACCUAGAUCUCUUAAUUGAUCAUGCAUUCUAAAUCGAUUCUCGUCAUCAAUUUUUAUUAACGAACGGUUAAUCAAUAUUCGCAAUCCGGCUAUUGGGAAGAAUUUGAGAUCCGCCCAAAAGUAGGUGACAUUUGUUUUGUCAGUCCCAAUGAAAAAACAUGCAAUGUCUAGAAACAUCUGCUGCACCUCAGAUGUUAAUGUAUCAUAACUUAUCCUCAACUUUUCUUGCACAGUCUCAUUAGGUGCAUUCCUCAAUUUCUUCAAAGUCUCUUCCCACUCUAUUCGAUCUUUCUCUUUGAGAAGUGAACCUACAACCAUGAGAGCCAAGGGAAGCCCUCCUGUGGUGGCAACAAUAUUACUAGAAAGAGCAGCGAGAUCAGUGGGAGGUUGUUCCCCUUCAAAUGCAUAUUUACUAAACAGAAGCAAAGAUUGUUAACUGUUCAUUUCUUUGAGUUCAUAAAUUUCAUAGUCAGACUUAAAGAGAGUCUUGUCUCGACAUGUAAUUAUGAUCCUACUUCCUGAUCCGAAAUUACAACCUCCAAUCAAUUUAUCGAGGUGGUCUCGACGAUCCACAUCAUCAAGAAGAAUAAGUACCUUCUUAUUUUCACAACUUGAUCGGAUCAUUGCAAUCCCUAUAUCAGACUUAUGCACGCUAUGGGGAGGGCUUUUUGUUAUCUCUGAGAUGAGUAGAGAUUGGACAUGCUCGACGCCCUUGCGAUUAAUUUCUUCUCUAAUAUCCUGGCGAGAGCUGCGGCACUGAAACUUGUCAAAAAGCUUUUUAUAGAUGAUCGUAGCUAGAGUUGUCUUACCGAUGCCGCCCAUCCCCCAAAUCCCAAUAAUUCGAGUGUCCGGGCGAGCAAGAUCCACCAAUUCCAUAACCUCAGCCACACAAUCCUCAAUUGCAACCAAGUUUUCAGGAAGAUCUGGUGGGAGAUCAUGUUGCUGCUCACGCAAUAUUAUUUCUACAAGUUCAUUUACCAAUUCCCCUUCAUGCCUGCCAAAUAACACAACACAUGAGAACUUAUUAAUGGCUCCACAAAACAUGAAUUGAGGAUGAUAAAUAGAAAGUUCUUCUUCCAACAAGGAUCUGUUAAAAGAGGUAAACGAAGUACCCAUCAGCAAAUUUCUCUGAUUCGAAUACUCUAAGAUCAACUGCUUUUUUGAGAGCUAGCGGCCCCUGUUGCUCGACCUCCUUCUCAAAUUUAUCCUUACAGGAUUUGUAGGCCUUUCCAAAGGCCCCCUUUAGUUUUCGGACAUGCUUGGGUUUCACCUUGUAAAGCACGGGCAAGACUAUCUGUCCUCUGCUUUCCUUGCACUCCAUUAUAUGAAUGAGCUCGUGAAGGCACCAUUCGCUAGCAGCAUAAUUUUCCGAGAUGACUGGGAUUGAAAUCUUAGAGCGCUCAAUUGCACUGAUGAGAUUUUCAUCAAUUUUCUCACCAAAGGGGAGGUCCUCAUCAUCUCUGACACAAAGUUCGGAUGGUACCUCAGCCACAGCUUUGAGUCUUUGGUAGAGUGAUCGACGAAACCUUUGCNNNNNNNNNNNNNNNNNNNNNNNNNNNNNNNNNNNNNNNNNNNNNNNNNNNNNNNNNNNNNNNNNNNNNNNNNNNNNNNNNNNNNNNNNNNNNNNNNNNNNNNNNNNNNNNNNNNNNNNNNNNNNNNNNNNNNNNNNNNNNNNNNNNNNNNNNNNNNNNNNNNNNNNNNNNNNNNNNNNNNNNNNNNNNNNNNNNNNNNNNNNNNNNNNNNNNNNNNNNNNNNNNNNNNNNNNNNNNNNNNGUGCUUGCGUUGCUCCCCCCCCCCCCCCCCCCCCCUCUCUCUCUCUCUCUCUCUCUCUCUGUCUCUGAGACUCGACUGGUGUGGAUAGUUUUUGAGGUGAUGGAAGAAGGGGGUGAGUACAGUGGUUUGCUUGUCAACCAGGAAGAUGUCUCCGUUCGGCUGCAGGGGUUUCAGCUGGGAAGCGUACUCGAGCUGGUGGAAGAGUAAAAAGAGAAAGCAAGAGGCGAGGCAGGAAAACGAAGCAGGAUUGUCGUUUGAUAUAGUUCAUGUGUUUAUAUUGGGAUCAAGAGACGCGUUCAGAAUUUUGCCAAAAAAAAAUUAAUUGUUAAUCGGUUAGAAGCAAUUCUGGUGGUCCUCGCUCCUAGCCCUAGAAGUCUGCUCCCAACUGGCCUUAACAACCACCCCCAUUAUAUAAAAUUUAAAAAAAUGAAAGAAAAUAACAUAUUAGCUAUAUUGCCACUAUAAUUAUAUUACCGUGAUCACAAUAAUUAAUUAUUCAAGAAAUAUACUUUAUCUUCAUUAGAAUAAGAGAUUUCUGCAAUAUUGAAAGUAAUUAUACCCCAUUGAGUUAAAGCCAAAAAAUAUUUAGUUCAAUUAAAGUAGAAAAGUAAAAGGAAAAUUGUACAAAAACAAGUUCGAAUAGACAUUCUUCAUGAAAAUUAUCGCCUGCCAAUUACCCAUUAAAAAUGCUUUGGUGAACCACUUUUAUAUUUAUCUAAUAAGAUAGAUCAACCAUAUCUAUUUUAGAUCUAUAUAUGAAUCAUAUUUCAUUUUAUAAGCUUAAUUCAUAUCUCAAAGAAAUUAUGCUCUUUUUUUUGGCAAGCACAUCAACAAAUUUGCUUUUAAUUAACUUGUGGACUUCGGUAAAUGACAAAAAAUAAUAAACAUAACUAUCGGACACUCAUGUGCUUACUUUUCUUUGAUUUUUUUUGUCCCAAAUGACAUCAAACACUAUUUGCUUUGACCCUGCGUCGCUGUUUUGGGCUUGACCCAUCUAUCUUCAACUCUCCUAUGCCGAUCGUCGAGGUCGCCUUAGUCUAGUUUUGCGAGUUGUUUCUCCUUGGCCCUACGUGGCCUUUUGUUUAGUCUGUCUGUUUUUAGUUAUUGCUUCGACCCUGCGUCGCUGUUUUGGGCUUCCUGUUUCGGCCCUUGCUUGAGUUGACCGCGUUGCGGUGUUUUGUGUCUGGCGCCCUUUCACUCGAUUAGAGGCUUCUGUCUUGUUGAGUGCAAGUUUUGUGGUGCCGGAUCAUGUAUAUUUGCUGAUUUUAGCUCAAUAUAUCAUUAUCCUUUACCAAAAAAAAAAAAAGCACUAUUUGCUUUGAGAUGACAGCCACCCUCACAUUACUAGAAAGCAUUCACCAAUUAUUUUUCUCAACCAGCCCCACCACUCCUCUUUAUGAGUCUCAAAGGCCAUCAUGACCCUCUGCCUUAUUACUGUCCAUGUGAAACGCACUGGUUGCCAGUCUAAAAGAAAAAGGAAAGAACUUUAAAGCACUGACGCAACCGGAAUAUUCCCAGGAACGUUCGCGCGAAGUUUCGUUCGAAGAGCCUUAUUUCCUCUCGAUUGAACUUCCUUGUAGCCGGGCAUCAUUGGAUCGACAAAUCAACAUCUAUUGGAAGUCUAACGGUAGGAAACUACAUGCGAGAAUAGAGCUCUUGAAGUCACAUGCAAAGGUAAAGCUAAGGUUCCUAAAGUCAAGGAUUUUGUCUUUCAAUAUUGUGGGCUUCAAUGUUCAGGAAAUUUUGGCUACACAUUUCGCUCAUGGAGAUGUAAAUGGAGCAGUGAUAGUUUUCAAGCAAUAUAUUAACUACCACUGGACAUGAGAAAAAAUUAUUAUCAAAAAUGAUAUGGUGCCCGCAUUGCUGAGAUACGGCAAGUAGUGCAGGCUUCUGUUCAGGAUCGAGACACUACAAAGGCCUCGACAAUUGCUGCAUGAAGCGCGAUACCCUCUUUCUCCUUUCUUUUCCUUUAAUUUAUUUUCGUUAAAUAUCAUUUUCUUUCCUAUCAAAGGAACCUCCUAUUCCUUUCGAUCUUGAGAUUGCGUAAUUGUAUAUUUUCUUGAAGAAAUAAGAAUGUUGUGUUUGGGUGUGAAAGAACUAAGGCAAUAAGAAAAUCGAAGAUAGAGAAGAAAAUAAGAAAUAAAUGAAGGAUAUAGAGAUGAGGUGUGAAUGGAAAUGACCGUUUAACUUUACAUAGGGAAGGGUACGUGUGCUGAGGACGAUCAUAUAUUUCGACUUACAAGUCAAAAGUGGUAUCUUAUCUCAAUUAAGUUUGGACAAAGAACGGUGGGCACCCCUUCAUUCACGGUUACUAAGCAAUACAUUGCUACAUGUAAUUACACCUUACACUACAUUGGUUGGGUGGCCUUUUUCGAUCAUUGUAUUUCGCAAUGGAAAGAAUCGGUGUUUCUAUCUCAUGAGUCGGGGANNNNNNNNNNNNNNNNNNNNNNNNNNNNNNNNNNNNNNNNNNNNNNNNNNNNNNNNNNNNNNNNNNNNNNNNNNNNNNNNNNNNNNNNNNNNNNNNNNNNNNNNNNNNNNNNNNNNNNNNNNNNNNNNNNNNNNNNNNNNNNNNNNNNNNNNNNNNNNNNNNNNNNNNNNNNNNNNNNNNNNNNNNNNNNNNNNNNNNNNNNNNNNNNNNNNNNNNNNNNNNNNNNNNNNNNNNNNNNNNNNNNNNNNNNNNNNNNNNNNNNNNNNNNNNNNNNNNNNNNNNNNNNNNNNNNNNNNNNNNNNNNNNNNNNNNNNNNNNNNNNNNNNNNNNNNNNNNNNNNNNNNNNNNNNNNNNNNNNNNNNNNNNNNNNNNNNNNNNNNNNNNNNNNNNNNNNNNNNNNNNNNNNNNNNNNNNNNNNNNNNNNNNNNNNNNNNNNNNNNNNNNNNNNNNNNNNNNNNNNNNNNNNNNNNNNNUUUGAGAUCAAAGUUGGAUACUCGCACUGGGAUCAGCUGACUUGUAGAGCACCGAACCGGCAUGGUGGGAGGCACGAAAUGAAGCUUCUUGGGCCAAGAGAGCAGAAAAAGCAUGGUAUCAAAUAAUACAAGCAGCUUUUCAUAGAUAUUGAAAUAGGACCCGUUUAUAGUUACAGUUUCAAAACUUCCUUCGCCAUGACUUAAGUCAAUUUUGGAAUGUCUCAGUUACUUGAACGGGAGUGUCUGGACCCUGAAGCAGUUUGCUCAAAGUGGUGUGUUCUGCCAAUCUUUGCCUUCCUCUGCUAAUAACCGCUACCCGCAAAAGGGGUCCUUCCAAGGUCCCUAGGCGACGAAAAUGGAACGGGAUUAGGGGAGCAUGUUAGUCGUUUGAUUGAGAGAGGAAGCUGUGCACUUUCAUAUGCAUUCUAUAAGCUACUUGCUCAGGUGGUCCAGUUAGGAACAUUCUAGGAAAACUACAAUUCUUCAUAAAGAAUAAGUUCCUUCAAAAUCUCGGGCACUAAAGAAAAAUUAUCAUUCAUAAAAAGUUAUUAAUAAUAGGAGCCUCAACGUCACUGGCACUCGUAGAGAAAGUAUGAUCUCUUUCUUAUAUACAAAUGUUACUUACUAGCUAGAGAUAGAUCCAUCAUUAAGUGUCAAGUGUACCCAUUACCCAUUGAAAUUUUUUGGCAAGUCACUAUUACUUUUAUUUAAUAAGUUGAUUCAUUGUAUCCAUUUUAGAUCUAUAUAUGAAACGUAUUUUAUUUUAUAGGCUUAACUCAUAAUUCUAAAAAAUUAUGCUCUCUUUUUUAUGUGCAAGCACAUCAACAAUAUUGCUCUUAAUUAACUUAUGAACUUUGACAAUGACAAUGAUUUAAGAUAAUAAACUUAACUGUCGGGCACUCAUAUUUUCACUUACUUUUCUUUGAUUUUUGGCCCAAAUGACAUUAGCAAUAUUGUUUUUAAGACGACAACCACCAUCACAUUACUAAAAAGCAUUCGCCGAUUAUUUCCCUCGUCCAUCCUACCACCUAUCUGUCCAAGUCUCCAAGGCCACCGUGAACAAUUCCUUUUAGGGUCAAUGUGAAACGCGCUGGCUGAAGGUCCAAAAGAAAAUGGGAAAAGCUUAAAGCACCGACACGAUGGGUCGGUACGUUCCCAGAAAAUCCGUGUGAAUUAUUUGUCCUCUAAUUGAACCGUGUGGUGGGGGCAUCAUUGGAUCUGGAAAUCAACGUCCAUAGGCUACCAUGUAGCAAAUAAAAAGUCUACCAGUAGGAAAUUAUUUGGGGGACACACAAUAAAUGCUUUCACAGGAAAAUGAAGGAUGAGGAGCUCUUGACGUGUACGUGAAGCCAAGGUUCAUAAAGUUUAGAAUUUUGCCCAUCGAAAUUUGUGGGCUGAAACCUUUGUCGGUUAACGUGUGAAUCGGCCUCCCAUGUGAUGCACGGUUUGAUUUAUUACUACCAUUUGGUCAUCCUAAAAACUUAAUAAGAACCGUUCUUUAUCUAAAUCCUUGAGCUUCGUUGAUUACUCCGAACUGAGUCGUUGUGGGAUCCUAAUAUAAUUUCAAUUUAUAUAAGUAUUUUAAAAUCGCUAUCUUAUUAUUUGAUUCAUAAUUCAAUUCAUUUCUACCUUAUUUGUCAUAUUAAAAGUUCGUAAGGAAUUACUUUUUUAUCUAGACUCUCUGACUCUAACGAUUACUCUAUCCUUGUCAAAUCAAGUUAUUAUAUUAUUAAAAGAUAAAUUCUUAAUAAGGCGAGCAUCAAUUAUUUAAUUAGUGAUGAGAUGUUAUUUUGUUGCAUUUGCGUUAUCUCUCGCAUCACAUCUCUAGUGAAUUAUAAAUUUAUCUUCGUGCUCAGUUAAAGGAGUACCUUGUUGGCUUCUUUAGUAUUGUAGAAAUCAUAUUUACAAAACGAAUAGUACCUCUCCUUUCCCAUACUUUUCUCCUUCCUUUUUCUUUAAUUUAUUUUCGUUAAAUAUCCUUUUCUUUCCUACCGAAAGCAGCUCCUGCUCCUUUCGUGCGUGGCGAGAGAGAGGGGGGGGGGGGGUAAUCGUGGAUUUUCUUGAAGAAAUAAAGGUUGUGUCUGGGUGUGAAAAAACAACGACAAGAAGAAAAUUGAAAAGAGAAGAAAAGGAAAAUAACCUCAUGUUACACCUUACAAGUCACAAGUGGGAUUGUAUCUCAAUUAGAUCUGAAUGAAAAAUGACCAAAACCACUUCACUCACAAUUAAAUUGAUGAAGGAUGAUGAAUGGUAAUUUCAUGAUUUGAGUCACAAGCAAUGCAUUGCGACGUGUAAUUACACCUCCACUACAUCGGUCGGCGGCUUUUUCAACUAUUGUGUUUCGCAAAUGAAAAAAUCAGUCUUUCCAUCUCAUGUGGACUGUGCACACACAUCUAUAUCCCUCUUCCUUUCCUCCUUUCCUUUUCUGCUUAUUAUUCCAUGGACGAACAGAUGCAGAGAAACACAGAGACCUCCCUACUUCACUCAAUGAACCCGCAGUCCCUCUGUCUCAUCGUGAAUUCACAGUGCUUGAGCGACCUGUAAAGAAUCACACAUAAUAUUUGAUCGACUGCUUCCCGGGGGACCUUUGUCGCUUUCCUCUUCCGUCCCUACCGCUCUUCUUUUCCGAGUCUGCAAAGCCACGAGCCUCUUCCUUUUGGCGUUAUUGUGAAACACGCCGGUUGCCUCCAGCUUUUCAAAAGCUUAAGGAAAAGAGGGUUAAAGCACCCAUAUCAAUCAGUACGUUCUCUGAACGGUCCGCCUGAAGUUUUGUCCGAGUAGUCUUAUUCAAGUUCUGUGCAGCACGCUCAUCAUCGGAUCGAGAAAUUGACAAGAGAUUCCGUAAUUAUUAUCUUAGACGAAAACAAUUAUCAGAAAUCAAUGUCUACUUACCGAGGCUACUAUGUUGGAAAUCGUACGUCUCCCAUAUAGUAUGAAGCUAUAUGGGAGAUGGGAGACGUACGAUGGAUGCUUUCACAAGAAAAUGAAGAGGAGUUAUUGAAUUCAUCCGUGAAAGCUCAGGUUCUUUCAAAGUUUUUGGGCUCCAAACUAAGGAGAAAAAGAAAGAGUUGCCUCAUCCGUGCGGGAAAGAAACAAAAAAAAGUUCGCUUUGCUUCAAGUGUUUUUGCAGGUCAUGUGAGAAAAACAAUCUUAAUAGUAAGUGUAAGCUUUCACUCAUAAUAAAUUAUGUUUGAUAAUUGUGCGACAAUUCUUUUUUUAUGUAUGUUGUAUUCAUACUAUAUUUUCAGUUAAAUAUGUUCCAAGCUGAGUUGCUCAUUACAAUUUUCUCAUGUUGCGACUACCGUGCUUCUGUACCCGACAACAAUGAGUGAUAAAUCAUGUCUAAUUUCGGAAUGAAUUUUGCUGCAAGGUUACCUCCAAAUGCUUUUUCAACCAAACAACUAACGACCUUUUUUUUUUUUUAAAUAAAAAUUUGAAGACAUGGCAUAAUUUGUGCAAUGCUCAUAGCUCUUGAAGUAGGCAAGUGGGAACAAGACAUGAAUGGAUAGGCAGGAUCACAUGCAUCGUACCAAAAGCCACAUACAUCAUACUCGUUAAUAUUUUUUGUAUUUUAAACCGGUUAUCACAUCAGAAAAAUCGUCAAAUCAAAUAUAAUCUUAUUAUAUAGAUAUUAAUUUAAUCUUAAAUUUUACAAUUUCAUCAAUUUAAUUCUAAAUAUUUAUACAAUAUUUCAAUAUAGCCCUUGUGAUCAAUUUUUAAUGAAAAUCACUGGACAAUCUAAGAUAAUUAAAUCACCAUAUCAAUGAUUUUCGAUAGAAAUAGGCCAUAGAGGUUAUAUUGAUAUAUUAAACAAAAGUUUAGAUGAUUAAGUUGAUAAAAUUGUUAUAUUCUACCAAGAUUGUUUUCGGAAGUGACGCGUGAUGCAAUAGUGACGAUAUGGCACUAGUGCUGAAAUUAUUGGAAGCCUUCCAUGAGGUUUGCUCUCUGGAGUCAUUGUGAAAAUAUGGAAUGCAUUCGUACGAAUUGGCCGACACGCACUAUCCCUGAAAGCUCAAUCUGUGGCUGGCAUGGACGGAGUACAAACACGAGUUGGAAAAGGAAUGUGAACCUUCAAGAAACCUAUCUCCACGGUGACUGUUGGGGGGGCUUGUGUACACUACCUUGGUCCAGUACCUCAACUUGAACUUCACGUACAUUUUGGACCUCAAUUGCUAUAUUCUGACGUUUGAAUGAAAAUAAUAUAAAAUCAUAACAUGAUUUUUCCGGACAAAAUGAAUAUGAUCAACAUUCCGCACUUGGUCAAGUUUGACAUGUAAAUCUAAUUAAGGAAUCCUAGAAGGAAUCCUAGAUGGCCGGGGAAUCUUGUGAAGAAAAUAUAGCAGUUGAUCAACAACAUACUAAUGAUUUACCAUGAAAAGAUUGUUAAGGGACUGAGAUAGCUGAACUUAAGGAAUUUCCUAAAGAGAACAUAUGGGUUAGUUGAAGCAAUUGUUCUUCCGAUUGAGCAUCCUCGUGGAUAAUAUGAAAUGGAAAGAAUUUACAUAAGGUAAUAAAUAGAACCAAGAAUAUUUUAUACGGAGGAAGCAAAUUAUUCUUCAAAAGAAGUGUUUCGAGAAAAUUAUAACUCAGAUAAUACUUAUCUAUCUUGUCCAAAAAAAAAAAGAUAAUACUUAUCUACGACUCUACUAAUACUUUGCCAGCAUCAUCAAAAUCCCGAAUUUCAUCAAUCAAGUACUAUUCUCUACACCAUAUGCAAUUUAGAAUAAUAAAUAAAAAAGAAACCACAAUUUUGAGUAGUAAAAUUUUCCUUUAUUUACUCAAUUUCUCUCCUUCAGCAAUACACAAUUUUUUCUAUAUUACAAAUAUCGAAUGAAUUCGCGUUUUUCCUAAAUGUUUGUACAUAACAGGUUAAACUCCUGAAUUCAGUCGCUUAUUCCGAAUUUUCCAAUUGUUUUUUUUUUUUUGGUCAAACGAAUUUUCCAAUUGAAUUGGAGAUAAGAUAGAGACGACAUCUCCAUCACAUUAUGGAAAAGCAUUCAUCAAUUAUUUUUCUCAUCCAUCCGAAACGCUCAUCUUUCCGAUUCUUCAAGGCCAUCAUGACCUCUACCUUUUAGAGCCAAUGUGGAACGCAUUGCUUGCCAGCCCAAAAGGAAAUGGAAAAAAUUCAAAGCACCGACACCAUCAGUGCGUCCCAGGAACGACCAUGUGAAGUAUCUGUCCUCUUAUAGAACCGUGCAGCCGGGGCAUCAUUGAAUCUAGAGAUCAACAUCCAUAGGUUACUAUGUAGCAAAUAGUAAGUCUCCCGGUAGGGAACCAUUCGGGAAACAUACAAUAAAUGUUUUCACAAGAAAAUGAAGGAUGAGAAGCUCUCUUGACGUGUACGUGAAGCUAAGGUUUAUAAAGUUUAGGAUUUUGUCUUUUGUGGACUUCAAUCUUUGUGGCUGAACGUGUGAAUCUUUUUCUCUGGAAUUUUGGCUAUGCGCAUUUCAAAAUAUUUUGCUCCAGAAGUUAACGUUGCUAAAGCAAUAGAUUGGUGCCUACAAAUAGGGCAUUUGAAAGCUUCAGAAUGCGAAGCUUCACAAGUAAAAAGGAAAAGAGAAGUGGCUUGUCCGUCCGUGAGGGAAAGAAAUGUUCUUACUUCUUUGCUUUAGUCUUUUGGCGCGAUUGUUCCAAGUAAUAUUGGUUUUUGCGAUUUUUUUAUGAUAAACAGAAUUAAUUUUGGGACCUCAUGUUCCGAUUGUUUAUAAUAUUUCUGGUGACAAUUUGCAAUUUUUGAAAGGAAGCAAGCAACACAAAAUAUGAUCUUAAAUUGACGAAAAAAGAGAGAAACAAAAAGCAAAAUGAGUUGGGUGGCCACAUGUCUACACCUUAGAGGCUCCCUCCCCAUGCACCAUUAAUGAGUUAUAAAUAUAGACAUCAUUCAUAUUUAAUUUUAGUUAAGUUUACAUAUUGGUAUUUCUAUAAGUUGAACACCAAUCAAGAUAUAAUUAGAGGUAAUUUUUUCCAACUAGGUACAGAGGAAAAAGUGACAUCACUUAAUAACGAGGAAAAUCACUUCAAAUUAGAUACAUUAUAAUGACACUCUUGGGCUACAUGCAUUUGGAAGAAGAAUGUGAGAUCUCAUUCUUACAUUUUAGGGAAUGUUUCAUUCUACCCUUCAUGACUUUGAAUUUGGUGAGUGUCCGAUCUUGAACUUCAAAAAGCCACAUCCCUCUUCCAUCUAAUCCAAACUUGUAUUUUGUUAUGCUCAUUAACACCACUAACUUUUUUCCAUUAACAUGAAUGACACGUCUUUUAUGGGAUAAAUAAGAUAUAUAUCUUAUAUAAUCUAAAAUGCUUUUUUUGAAUGAUAUACACCUUUUAUUAAAAGAUAAAUUCUUGAUAUGACGAGCAUUGAUUGUCUAAUUGGUGACGGAUUACUUGUAAUGAAGAUUGUUUUAUUGCGUUUGCGUCACGUCCGUGGUUAAUCACAAAUUUAUCUUUGUGUUAAGUUAAACGAGUACCUAUUGGCUUUUUUGGCAUUGUAAAAGUUGUAUUUACGGAAUGAAUAGUACAGCUCCUUUCAGAUGCUCUCUUUUCCAUCCCCCAUUUGCGUCACAUCUCGUGUCACGUCCAUGGUUAAUUACAAAUUUAUCUUUGUGCUAAGUUAAACGAGUACCUGUUGGCUUUUUUGGCAUUGUAGAAAUCGCAUUUACAGAAUGAAUAGUGCAUCUCCUUUUUUUUUCCAAAAAUAGUGCAUCUCCUUUCGGAUGCUCUCUUUUCCAUACCCCCCUCCUUUUGUCCUUCCUUUUUCUUUAAUUCUUUUUCGUUAUUUUUCCUUUUUCUUUCCUACCGAAAGAACGUACUACUCCUUUGGUGGGUGGCGAGAGGGGGGGGGGGGGGGGGAGAGGCAAGGGUAAUUGUGGAAAAAACCUCAUAUUACACCUUACAAGUCACAAAGGGGUUGUAUCUCAAUUAGAUCUGAAUGAAAAAUGACCAAAACCACUUCAUUCACAGUUAAUUUGGUGAAGGAUGAUGAACCGUUAUUUCGUGAUUAGAGUCAUAAGUAAUGCAUUGAGACAUGUAAUUGCGCUUGUAUUGCAUCGGUCAAGGCCUUUCUCUAUCAUCGUGUUUCGCAAAUGGAAAAAUCGGUCUUUCGAUCUCAUGAAUCGUGGACGCAUCUCUCUCUCUCUCUCUCUCUCUCUUCCUUCCCUCUUUUCCUUUUCUGCUGGUUAUUCCAUGGUGGAACAGACCCACAGUCCCUUUGUCUCAUCGUGAAUUCACAGUGCUUGAGCGAGGUGUAAAAAGAAACGCUCGUGAUAUUUGACCGACUGCUCCCUGGGGGACCUUUGUCACUUUCAGCAUCCGUCUGUACCGCUCUUCUUUCCAAGUCUGCAAAGCCACGGACUUCUUUUUGGCGUGUCAAUGUGAAACACGCUGGUCGCGCCCACAUAAAUUAUUACGUUCCCCCAGUCAGUACGUUCCCUUUGUUCACUCUCAUUCAAGUUCUGUGCAGCAUGUGACAAGAGAUUCCGUAAUUCUUGUCUUCGACGAACAUAAUUAUCAGAAAACAACGUUUACUUGUCGAGGCUACUGUGUCCGGAAAUAGUACGGGUAAUAGUAGGGAACUAUUUGGGAGACGUACAGUAGAUAGAUGUUUCGCGAGAACAUGAAGAUGAGGAGCUAUGAAGUCAUAUGAUAAGCUGAGGUUCUUUCAAAGUUUGUGGGCUUCAAACUGAGGAAAUUAACAUAGAGUUGGCUCAGAAAUAAAAGACUUCGCUCCAAGCCUUUUUGCAUGUCAUGUGAGAAAAACAAUUGUAAUGGUAACUGUGUGACAAAUAUUUUAUUUGUGUGUUAUAAUUAUACCACAUUUACAAAUAAAUAUCUCCAGAGUUGCUCAUUAUAAUAUUUUUUGUGUUACCAUUGCCGUGCUUCCAUGCCCAACAACAAUUGAUGGUAAGUGAUAUCUACUUUUAGAACGAAUUUCAGUCUAAAUUUACCUCCACAUGAUUUUCCAGUGAAACCAUAAAUGAUCUCCUUCUUUUAUUACUAAAAAUUUGAAGACAUGGUAUAAUUUUUGCAAUGCUCAAUUGCUCAUAGCUCAAAGCUGGAUAGUCACGAUGAUUACCUGAUUCGGAAUACUACCCAACCCACGUGGUGGGGGGCAUGAAGUGACGUUUUCUUUGACAAAAAUCGAGACCAGAAAAAGCAUAGUAGAAGAUCUUGCUUACAUAGAUUUAUCUCUCGACAAUAUCACAAAGAUUUAUCUCUUGACAAUAUCUUCCGGUAGCUUUACAAUUACUUGUAUCCGUACUUAAUUUGCUCUUUCGUUCCCAACAACUUUCCUUCCGACUCAAUGAUUCUCCUUUCCAUGACUCCCUUCAUUUUGAGCUUUAUUAGCUAUUUAUUCAGUCCUGCGAAUUCACUAUUAGAACUGAUAAAGAUAAUUGGAGAAGUUCAUCAUUGAUAAGAUUCUGAUUUUUAUCAUGAUAUUAUAGGUUAAUCAUCUUGACUUACACGUUCUUAAUGAUCUAUCACGAACUUUUCGAGUAAGAUGUCGGUCAAAAAUAAAGAAUUUAGAUGAAUGGACAUUCAAGAUUUAACUAUGUGAUCUUUUGAUGACACUAAUCAUUCUCAAUAACCUUAGCUUUCCCACAUGUUUAAUCAACAUAACCUUAGCUUUCCCACAUGUUUAAUCAACAUAAUACUUGACUUGGAGGAAUCAUCUCUCCGUCUCUCCUAGACUCUUGAAAUCAAUUUUGACAUCCCAAACAUAAUAGAUUCACAAGUAGCAAGUAUUUUUUAGCCGGUUCCAAAAGUAUAAAUACUCUGAUUCCAUGGUUCGUUAGAAGUUUCGCAUAUUUUACUAUUUGGUUGUGCUAUAACAAUAGAAAUAAUAGAACAUUUUCUUUAGAUGUGCACGCAAUCACUUGGAUGGAUGGGUUUUUUUUUCCUCUUUAAUGUGUAGUCGAGCCCUUUCUUUUUCACCGAUUUUGAAAAAGGAGGCAUUGAUGGUUGCAAUUACUAAGCUUUAUUUUCUAUGAGUGUAAGUAAUUUCUAGAAAAUCUCAAUUCCUCCAAUGACAAUGUUUAAAUCCCAAGGAGGUUAGUUCGAUAUGGUGUGCUUUGCUAAUCUCUGCCCUCCCCUUGCAUUUCGCAAUACAAAUGCAACCCUUUACGUGUUUAUUCCUUUGCGAAACUCAAGCAGUCUCUUUGAUUAUAAUACUUACCAAUGGCAGCAUUGUUUCUUACACGAAAGAUUAGUUUCGCAGAGCAAAGGACGUAGCAAAAAUGCGAUUCCUAAUCCUGCUCUUGCAUGCAGUGAUGCUUGCUCCUCUUUAGAAAUUACUCAAAAUUUUUUUUUUCUUUUUAAUUGUGUAUAAUGUGAUGGUGGAUUGUCCAUUAAUAGGGGGCUUUUUAUUUUCGUGGUUGAUCAAGUACCACCGAACAUGAGAAAAAUUAUUAUCGAAGAUGACAUGGUGCCUGCAUCGCUGAGAUAUGGCAAGUAAUGUGGGCUGCUAUACAACAUAUAGACGUUCAGGAUUGAGACCUUGCGAUGGCCUCACCAAUUGCUGCAUGAAGUAAGACGCCCGCAUCCAAGUUUUCAGCCCAAAAUGAAAACCGCAAAUAUUAAAAAGAACCAGAAAACCCAAUUGAAGUUCUAAGGGGCCUAACGGUUAAAGAAAAAGUUUUAAUUUUAGUUUUCAAUGUAAACGAAAAUUUUUCAUUUCCGGUCUUUCGUUCCCUUGAGCAUAUGCUCGGCUUGUAGAAAUAAGAACUUCGUAGAAAUAAGAACUUCUAAUAGGAAUGUAAAUUUAGACCUGUUUGCCGUGCCUUUGCAAUCCGUCAUUAUGCACCUUCUCCAGCAAAAUUUACCCAAUUGAGUUGGAAUUAAUAGAUAUCCUCUCUCGAUGGGAAUCCUACCCCAAUGGUGGUAGUUUACACCCAGAAAACCCUAAUGCUCUUCACUGAAUACAGCAGUCAUUUCAUCUAGUCUCUACCAAGAUGCAAAUCUCCCGUUUCCUUUUCAACUUUGGCCCUUUACCAAAAAUCCCCAACCUUCCUAUAAAUCAUGUUCACCGUUCCAUAAGCUAACCCCAACCCAGCUUCUGAUACAACCCGAUCUCCAUUCUAUAGCAUCACGCCCUACAAGCAUAGGGCAUGCAAUCAAUGACCAUAAUAUCAUCUGAAAGCAACAACCUUGGUUAAUCCUCGCCCAAAUUUCAAACCCAAAAUCCCGACCUACCCCAUUAGCCUCCCAGAACGUUGCAUUGUCUUUGGACAGCAUUUUGCCAUUACAGUGUAUAGUGAUACAACCCCAAGAAUGAAUUUACAGGAAUAGCUGCUUCUAGCGUACUUCUCACAGGGAGUAAGGUGCCUGCCUCUCGUGCAUCUUCAAUGGAAGAAUUCGACACCUCAGAUUAUCGAGUUGCUAUCCUCUGCAGAAAAUUGGGCAAUUUUUGGUCGGAAAAAAGACCUGGCAGAGAUAGAUGGUAUGGUCCCAACUGAGAGAAUACAGAAUGUUGUCUAACUAUGUUUGGGCAAUUGUUCUACAACCCCAAUAACAAUCUCCAAGCCUUCCAAAACACUAUGGAGGGGGCAUGGAGAGUGGAUUCAGUUACCUUGGAUCGAGUAGACUCAAGAACUUUAGCCUUUAUCUUUAAGUUUGGAAAUGAAAUGAACAGAAUUCUUGAGACAAGGCCUUGGUCUUUCUCUAGCAAUCCUUUCGUGCUUAAACCAUGGACAUCGACCACUUCGCAGUACAGUUACAAUUACACACAUUAUGAGUUUUGGGUUCAAGUGCACAUAUUACCUACAGAUAACCAUAAGGCAAAUAGCAGCAGCAGUAGGCUUGGUAACUGAAGUGAAAAUUGAUACAAAGGGGUUUAGCUCCUAUACAGGUGGAAAAGCUAGAGUAAGAACUGAUUUAUUGUCCCCCUUGAAACCUGGGACAUUUGCCAGCCAAGGAGGAAAGAAACUAUGGGUCGACUUUAAAUAUGAGAGAUUACUGCACUUUCGUUAUGCAUGUAGUUGCAUAGGGCAUUAUGCUAAGUUCUUUGAGGAAGAAGAAUAUGACGAGAACUGGUUAGAAAUUGAUGAUCCUAGUUGCUUUGGAAGAAGAGCCCUCUUUGGAAGCUGUUCUAUGCAAAACCAGAGGAUAUAAUCAUAGACGAUGAGAUUAUUCCAGAAACUCCUAUCCCCACCCUGCAAAUGGUGUCCUAUGAGCCUACGGGAAAGAAUCCAUUGGUUCCUAGUAGUGGGAACAAUCUGGGAAAGUCAGCUUAGAUUUUUACUGAGGAGAUAGAAGCAAUUGGAAAACGUGGCAUCAGUCCAUAUAAAAACAAAGAAAAGAGCUUGACGUUGAUAACAACUCCAAACCACUCUACACUGCUGGAAGGCAGCUCAAAAAGGCCCCCAAAAAGAAAUGUAGCAAGGGGAAGAAAACAGGUGGAAACAAAACACAGUGAAGGUAUAGUCCUUACGCUUCUCAAAAGGUGAACUCUCUUGCCUUAAAUGAGACCAAACUUCUGUAGACUCCAAUUCAGGUUUUGGAGGAUCCUAAGAUACGGGCUUCGAUGGUUAUCACUAAUAAGCCAUUGAGGUUCCCAUGAUAAUUUUUUGCUGGAAUUAUUAGGGGUCAGACACACCCAAGGCAAUCUUGCCAUUGAGGUCUGGAAAGGCCCAGCAUUAUUUUUCAGAUGGAAACAAAGAAUCAAGAUUUGUGGUAUGAGCUUGAAACGAAUCCAAUUCCAGAACUGUGCAGUGAUGAAUUCAAAUGGAAUUGUAGGGGGAUCAGCAAUUUUACGGAAUGACAUGGUUGCGCUAACAAUGGAAUCAAUCACAAAUGAAAUGCUUGACCUAAUAUGUACAGAUAGUGGAAAACAUAUGAGAAUUACCUUUGUACAUGCUCCAAUAAUCAGCCUCCAAAACCAGCUUCCUUCGAUUUGGUUUGGUUUUUUUUUUUUUUUUGUUGUGGGGGGGGGGGGGGGAACUGAACUUUGAUGAAAUUUUGUAUCACUGGGAAAAAGUACACAAGCAUAUGGUGGAGCACCAAAGGUCAAUGGCUUUUUGAGAUAUUAGACAUUAUAAAUGCAUGAUCUUUAAUGGAUCUUGAAUGUAAAGGAUGUGCAUUUACAUGGGCAAAUAAUAGGAAUGGGGAUGCCCAUGUGAAAGAAAGACUAGAUAGAGCUCCAUGCAAUGUAGAAUGAAGAGUGACAUCCCAGAAGUGGAAACGUAUGCCUCUUAUAGGCACCAACCAUAGUCCUAUCUUGCUAACUCUCUCAACGGAACCUGCAAAAAGAAAGAGAUAAAUUAAGUUUGAAGCAUACUAGCUUAAAGAUAAUGAAUGUGGUCAGCUAGUAAGUUUAGUGUGGAAUUCUCCAGGCAUGGAAAUGAACAUUUUCUGAAGAAACUACAAGAAUAGAGGCCCUAACGAAGUGGAGCAAGCGGAAGUUCUCUAAUGUUAAUAGUCAAAUCAACUGCUUGAAUAGGGAGCUUUAGGAGUCAACAAAUGAGCUGAGCUUGCAUCAUGACGGACAAAAUGCAGCAACUGAAAAUGCAAUUGAAGAUCUGUGGAAACAAGGAGAAAUGUAUGGGGGUAUGCACUCAAGAAUAUACUGGCUGAAUAGGAUGAUAGAAAUGCUGAGGAAGCCCAAUAGAAUGAGCACAACAUGCUAAUCUCUCGUUUUGAUGAGCAUUUAGUAAAUGAUAUUCUAGCUAUCCCGCUCUUAACGCCGAUGAAGACUAGCUAGCGUGGACAUGCAACCAAGCAGGGGGCUAUGCUGUUAAAAGUGGCUACAAACAACUCCAGGACAUUGAGACUAAGCAUGAAGCAAAUCAAGCCUCAUCGUCCUCCCAAACUCCAAAAGCCCUUUGGACUAAGGCAUGGAAUCUAAAGACAACCCAAAGUAAGGGUGUUUAUGUGAAGUACCAUUCUCUCGUUCUGGAGCUUGGCUCUCUCCGUCUGGGUUCCAUCAACGAAUCUUCAGUUCCCAAAUGCCUCCGAAGAUCACGCCACCUAAGCCAUCGGGUUCCAUCAAAAGACAUAUUUUUAUCUUCAGUUCGCCGCUAUGAAUCUUCCUUCUCUCUCAGAAAUGAAUCUCCUAUUCUCGAUUUUGCCAAUAAAGACACUUUUUUUUUACCUGGCCAAAUGCCCCGAACCAGACAUUUUUCCCCUGUAAUGAAAAAGCAGAGGCAUUCCCACGCAGCCCUACAGAUAAAAAGGACGUACCUAAGUCAGUCAAAUCUCAAGAAAUCCCGAAAAUGCCACACCAAGUUCCCGAAAAGCCUCAUCCAUGCAGUGCAAGAUUCCUUUUUAAAAAAAAAAAAAAAAAAAAAACUCAGUUCAGGAUACAUAGCGAGCAUGGCAACUGGUUUUGAGAAGGGAUGUUUUCUUAUGGGAGCUGACGAAAAAAACUGCCCGUGGUUUUGAGGAGAAGUCACACCCAUCUUUGGAAGCCAAAACACACGAGAAAGGAAGGAAGAGAGUGUAUUCAUACGCAGGAGGGGGAGAGAGGGAGUGAAAAUUUAACCGACUUAUUUUGAUUGUAUUUUCAGCAAUUGCUCGGACGGUGGGGCAUUUGUCUGAGAGUUCUGAGGUUAUGAAGCUUGUGAAAGCUCCUGAAAUGGCUGUUCCCAAGGUACAUUUCCUGUAUCGGUUGAUACUGUAUCCGUUGAUGUGAUUUUAUAAUUUGCAUGAUGCACUCUCUCCUAUGGGGGUUUUGUCAAUUGUGUAUUUGCAUAUUAAUGUUCCUUUUCUUGUGAAUGUUCAUAUUCAGAAUGAUGAGGGUGAUGCUUAUAUUCAAGCUUUUUCUGAUGAUAUGUGGCUGUUGAGAGACAACGGAAACUUUAUCUCCUUUUCGGCUUUAUCAUUUUCAAAUACACUGAUAGUUUGAACCUUCAUGAGUGGAUGAGAGAUGAGAUAAUGGUAUGAAUGACUAUAUCAACAUGACCUUAUAAUGCAUAAUUCAAGAAUAUUAUCUUGAGCAAUUUGGGAAUGUUAGUUCUCCAUUUCUUGCUCACUUGCUGGAAUAUGGCUUGUGAAGUGGGAAAAAGUUGGAAAUGCAAAUUGUGAAAUGUUUUUGUUACUUCUGAUCAGAAAGUUGUGAAAACAAUGGGUUGUGGAGUAGCCUGCAUCCUGCGGCAUAUGAAUAGCAGAGGCAUAUAUUUGAUUGCUGGAUGUAGCUUGUUUAUAUGAUAUAUAGGCUGGUGUGAUGGAAGAAUUUGUGAAUGACGCGAUUGACACAGCUCUUGACACGGAGGACAUGAAGAGGAGAUAGAUGAAGAGGUUGAUAAGGUCUUGACAGCCAUUGCCGGUGAGACAGCUGCCCUUCCAGUGGUAGUGAGGAAGCAAAAGGUGAAGCAAUCUGCUCAACCUAUCAACCUACUGCAGAAGAGGUACAUCUGCUAGUUCCCUUACUGAUGGAACUUAUUUUUGGUCAUUCUUUUAUUUCCCCGAUAGGGAGCUAAUUGAGAAACAAUCACUGCUGCAUUCUUACUUUUUUCAUUUAUCAAUGAAUUUGGAAUUUGUAGGAUGGGCGGUAGCCGAGGGUGUUGAUGAUGAGGAAGAACUAGAAGAAAUGAGAGCUCGCCUUGCAGAAGUUAGGUCUUUAGUUCCAAUUUUUCUAUUGUUCCACACUUUUGACAGCCCAAAAGGCAGGGAAAGGAGGGGCAAACUCUAUUUCGCCUAACAUGGGAGGAACGCGAGUCCCCUUUACUGUAUUCUGAUUGAUGUAGAGGAGAUCCUAUACAAAACUUGAACGGUCGAUGAAACAUGGUGUAAUGAUGUAUAAAUAUGCAAGUUAUGUAUAAACUUGAGCUUGUGGUGAAUAUUGGGUACGUGGGUCGACAAAUUUACCAAUAUUGUGUAACACCUGAGCCAGAGCUUCCAUUCUUUCAACAGGAGCAGAGAUGGAGCAAGUGUCAGGUGAUAGGGGAGCGGCCGCUUGACGAACCUUGGAGCAGCAACAAUAAACGCGGCGUAGCAAAUGAGAGCAAAAGCAAAGAUUCAAAUUAAAUAUUAAGCAUUUUUCAGCUCUAAAUGAAAAACACAAAUAAAGAAAAGAACUAGCAUACCCAAAUUGAAGUUGGUUCAUGAAAAAAGGUUUUAGUUUUCGUUUUCAAUGUAAAGGAAAAAUAAAAGAUCUUCAUUUCUCCUUCUUUUUUCCUCUUGAAAAUAUGUUUGGUUAGUAAAAGAACUUCGGAUAGGACUCAAAAUUUAAACAUGUUUGUGGUGUCUUAGCAAUCCAUCAUUUUGUACAUUCUUUGAACUAAUAAUCCCAUCUUUUCAUUUGGUGAUUACAAAGUACCAUAGCCGGCUAUCAACAAAAAUCGUCUUAUGAAGUAGGAGAUGCCGAUGAAAUUGGCAAUACAUCUCUACCACGAAUAAUGCGACCUGCUUCAUUUACCUUUGAAAGGAAACUAUUAAAACAUCCAUUUUCAAGAGGCAUCUAAACCUCUCCUCUCUGUACAUGCAACAAAAAUCUUGGAUACAGUCAAAAGAGCCUAUGAAUUAGUUGAGUACUCUAGAACUUGAUCGGUAGGCAAAAUUCCAGCCAAUGGCCUUACAGUAGCGUCUCUGGAUAGACAUACUUGACUUUGAUUGGGUAUAGUAGCUUGAAGAGCGAUGCGGUUCGAGGUAGCCAGUCUCUUAGGUCCCUACUUUUUCAGGGCGGAUGAAGUUACUGAUAAGUAGGAAAUCUUUAGCACAAAACUAGACUAAGAAAAUUAGAACAUCACAUACUAAAAGCCAAAACCCUGUUAUCCGAUGAGAGAAGUAAGGCCUUGUACAUGAGAUCUGGUGUCCCUGAUCAUCGAUUCAGUAUAGAGACGAGACGAAGGUACCAUGGAAUCCAUAGGGUGCCCUUUCAGGCAGUCAUUUUUUCCAUUGGCUCACCUUUUAACUUGUGCGCUUCAAUCACAAGAACCUGCAGAUUUCACGAUUUCAAAAUCACAUCAAACGUCGUUACUGGUAGGCAAACCUACUUGAUGAUUGCAUUGAAACUCUUAAACUUAACCUGGGAUACAUCUGUUUCCUCGUUAUGUACCCAAGAGACGAUCCAACCACUGUCCUCUCCGAGACCAUCUUUCUUAGGGACAACACACCUGCUGCAGAAACUGUCCUUCUCGAAAUUAUGGUACCUGGCCUUCAUCAACUUCUAGUGAUAUCUUCCCCUCUAAUUCAAGGUCAAGGCCGCAGUGAGGAACAUUUCGACAUGUACAAUGGAUAAUUAGAAUGACUCGAAAAACUUUCAGUAAUACCUCAGAGGCAGACAGCCCAGGACAAGGUUCGUUGAAGUAUAAUUUCACUAGACCUCCAUAUUAGCCAUUCCUGAAUCAAACGAGUGAUGCAUAAACAAUAGGAAACUGAUCUUAUGCGCUACUUUGGGGAAAUGGACAUGGACUUGAGAGUAGAGACUGGCAUUGCAUUACCACUUUCAGAGCUUGCUCUGAAUUGAUGACUUGAGCAUAACCAUACCCAUUACGCAAGCUAGUGAAUUCGGCAUUUAUGAAAGGGAAGUCUAUAGAGAAUUCAGUGCCCAUAAGAUUCGACUCCUGAACUUCCCCUGUUUCCUUGUUCAAUCUCCACUCAUAGGCACAGGUAAACAGAUAGCCUCCAUGUUUGUUAGCAUUUGCAUCCACCGGUUCUCUAAAGUUGAAUCCUCUCGAGAACCAAUCGAACGUGUUCAUACCCCAAUCGGGACACAGAAACACCACUGUAAGUGAUCUGCAUCUUCUCACCACAACCUGCAUUGCUGGUCAAUGUCAUUAUAGUUGAGGCUUAGUCUAAAAGGAUUUUAAUUUUCAAAUUAGGCUACUAGGAAAAAUAUACCUCAUAACCAUCCCGAAAGCAAUUGAUAUGUGAAAUGUGCAGCUUGAUUCUACAAAAAACCAUUGGACUGAACUCGCAUCUCCAUAACGUAGCAUCACCCCUAUCCUCGGAUAUCUUCCUGGUCAUAUUUCAGUAACCUACAUUCCAAGAAAACGAUUAGCUGCUUCAACAAACUGAAAAACUGUCACCAAGAAAGGCAUUACCAGCUCCUGCAAAUCAAUGCUACAUCGUGAGAUCAACUUGUUAUCUACUGAAUCAUGCUGUAAUGUGCCAGUGAGGAAUCUCCAUGUUUCCAGAGCAGUCUUGACACCAAAACUUUCAUAAAGCAAUUACAACGUCCAGCUCUGCCUACAUUCCUGUGCCAAAACAAAUAGUCCAUUUACACAGGCACUUCACUCCUAAUCUCACAACAGAACCACCUCCGCAUAUGGUUCUCUUCAGGUUUCAUGUCCCAGAUCAAAAUAGCAUCGUUUCUUUUAUCGUGUAUAGCACGAUAUAGUAUAUCUUGCUAUUUUGAACGUCCAUAAUCAGCAUCAAUGGAACCAAUCCACCUUGCACAGCAUAAAAAUUCCAAUGCUUGAAUGAUUAUAGCAUAAAAUCAGAAUAUGUUUUUUCCAGAUGGGAUGAAUUUGAUUGAUAGUCUGGCCUUGGUCAAAUCUGACACGUAAAUCCGAUCAAUGAAUACUCUGGUGAAGAAAAUAUAGCAGUGUAUCAGAACACACAAAUUAUUUACCACGAAAAGGAAUGGUUAAGGGACUGAGAUAACUAGAGUUAAGGGAUUUUCUGAAGAGUACAAAUGGCUUAUUUGGAGCAAUUGAUCUUCCAAUUGAGCAUCCUCAUGUAAUAUACGAAAUUGAAAGUAUCUGCACAAGCGAACAUGCAUAACCAAAUAGAUUUCAAGGGAGAAGCCAAUCAUUCUUCAAAAGUAGAACUUCGAGAAAAUCAUUUUUUGAAGUAUUUGCAGCAGUUAAAAAUAUUUUCAUAUCAGGAAAAAUGAAUCCUGAUUUAAAUAGAACCCACAUUACUCUAGUUCCAAAAAUUCAUAACCUAGAAACCCUUGAUCAAUUCUGCCCCAUUAGUUUGUGCAAUUUUGGCCUAUAAAAUCAUAUCCAAGGUAAUCGUGGAUAGACUCAAAACUUGGUCAUCGAAAUUGAUAGCUCAAUAGCAAAGUGCAUUUAUGAGUGGGAGACUUAUCCAGGACAAUAUCAUGAUAGUGCAGGAAGUGUUGCAUCAACUAAGAGCAAAGAAGAGGAGGAAAAAAAUUCCUAGCGGUUUUGAAACUUGAUACGAAAAAGGCGCAUGACAGAGUAGAAUGGGACUUGUUGGAGGCAUGCUUAAGGAAACUGGCCUUUGAUGAAAAGUGGAUUACAUGGGUUUGAAAUGUGUAUCUUCAGUCUCAUUUAGUGUUAAAUAUAAUGGGAAUCCUCUUCCUUACUUCCAACCUUCCAGAGGACUUCGGCAAGGUGAUCUUUCAUCCCCUCAUCUCUAUAUUUUUGUGGCAAACAUUUUAUCUUUUAUGAUGAAUAAAACAGUGGAGGAUGGCAGUAUCGAGGGUAUUAAGCUCAACUCUUCUUCCCCUACCAUAUCACAUCUCCUAUUUGAGGAUGAUUCCAACUUCUUUUUAGAGUGGAGAAUUCAAGAAUGCCAAUCUAUAUCAGAUGUAAAAUCAGUAUGGUUUUGCUAUUGGACGGGAGAUAAACCUAAACAAAUCAGGAAUACUCUUUAGCUCAGGGUGUCCACAGACCAUAAGAGCCAAUAUGGCUUAUGAAUGGCGUGUCUUAGAACUGGAUAAAACAGGAAAAUACCUCGAAACUCCUUUGGAUUGGGGAGAGUCUAAGAAGAAUAUGUUUUUCCUGGAUACUUGGAAGAUUUAACAAAAAAAUGGAAGGUUGGAAGGAAUCUUUAAAUUCUAAAGCAGGAAAGGAGAUAUUACUAAAAAAACAGUAGCACAGGCUCUUCCUCAAUAUGCAAUGUCAAUUAACAAGAAUCCCCUUUCCAUACGUGAAGUGAUUGAACACAUAAUGGCAGCAUUUUAGUGGAAAAGCAGAGAAUUUCACUCUGGUAUUUUGGAAGAGUUGGGAUUUCUUGAAUCAAAGGAAAGACAAUGGAGGCAUGGGAUUCAAAGAUUUACUUUCUUUUAACAAAGCUUUCUUAGGAAAGCAAGCCUUGAGAUUAAUGCACCAGUCUUGCUCUUUAUGGGGUCAAAUUUUUUAAGGCAUUUACUUCCCAAAAAGGAGUUUCUGGCAUGCUGGGAAAGGGCAUAGACCCUCUUGGGGUUGGCAAAGUUUACUAGAGGGAAGAGACUCAAUCUUAGAAUCUUCAAUGUGGACAGUAAAAAUAGGAGAAGCAAUCAAUAUCAUAUAGGACAGAUGGUUGAAAAGAGGUGUAAUUGGAGGGCCAGUGAGUGAAAAUGACCCGCAACAGGUAGUAGAGCUUAUAAACCACAAAGAAAAUUCCUAGAAUGAACCUCUUCUUUGAAAUAUUUUCCAAGAGGACAUCGCGAAGGAAAUUCUAGCUAUUCCUCCAACAACCCACUCUAUUCAAUACAAACUGGUGCGGACAUAUUCAUCAACAGGAAAUUACUAGUAAAGAGUGGCUUCAACUACAUAAAACUUACCUAGAAUGUCCGAAAAACUCCAAUAGCCUCCUCAUCUUUCCGGGCUCCUCAGGCUUUAUGGAAUAGGACCUGGAAAAUGCAAACAAUCCCUAAAAUUAAUCUCAUUCUAUGGAAUGCAUGUCAGAAUAGUCUGUCCACAAUGGAGAACUUAUACAAGCGAAAAAUAGUAUUGGAUCCUUAUUGCUCACUGUGUAGAGACUAGGUGGAAUCACCAGAGUGUCCCCUUCUCCUUUUGUCCUCGGACGCGAGACAUAUGGGCUUAACCAUCCCUAAACAUUCAGGUUUCUCCCCAGGGUUAAGCAGAGUAGAGAUAAGGCUAAUGCAAUUCCUCAAAAGCACGGAAAACCCACCUUCUUUGGCACUAGUAGCAACCAUCUUUCAGCUUAUUUGGACUUCCCGUAACAACUUCAUAUUUCGAAAGAAACCCCCAGACCCAGUUCAAGCACUACAGGGGAGCUCUAUCUUCUCUCGCCAAUUGCAGGAGAUGGAAUUCACAGCAAAAACUCGGACCUUGACGCUCCCACCUCUUCUGAGAACUGGAAACCCCCCAAAGGUCGGAUCUUUAGAGGUCAACAUUGAUGAAUCCCUUCGUUGAAAGCUCCAUGGAAGGAGCAAUCGCCUGCAUUAUUCGAAACUCAGAAGGGACGCUUGUGGAUGCACACAUAAUUAUCUCACAGCUGCGUAUCGCCCCCAUUGCCAUCGUGAAACCAACUCCAUUGCAAAAGGACUGGAUUUCUUCCCCUCCCCAAAUCUGGGUGGAUUUACUUUGGAAGGAAGCCCAGUUCAGGGACCCUGCAUUUUCAAAUUGAAUAAAAGUAAUCGGUUUAUGAUCCACCAAAAAAAAAAGCGAGUAGGAAAUGUUGAUGAAAUUGGCGAUACAUCUCGACAAUGAAGCGUGACCUGCUUUUAUUUACCUUUGAAAGGACGUGAAUCGUUCCGACAUCUUGGCCAAAGUGCUCUACUGAUCGGAGCGUUAUUUGCAUGAACCGAUGGUUUCUCUGCUGCAGUAGCGCAAUGAACGAUAUUCCAUCAAGUUGCGUCGCCGAACGGCUUUUAGAAUUUAGACGCCUCGAUUCCUGGAGCUCUGUGAUUUCCAGAAGUUCAUCCGAAAUUGACCCCCCCAUCAUUCCGUAAAACCUCCGAAAUUCGACAGGUGUGGUCAAUUUGUUGAGGCCUUGCAGUUGUCCCUCUAUGUAAAUGAGCGUAACACAGUUUUGACUCUCUCCAGGCCCUGAACUUCCUCAAGAUUCCAACACCCUCGAAUGUCCAAUAGUCUAAGGUUAUCGAAGAGCGAGAGGUUCGGUAAUUUUCUAAUGGAAUUGCACCCCCACAUACUUAAAUAUGUCAAUUUUUUCAACCCCUCUAGGCCUUCAAUUUCGACUACAUCAUGGCAUUCAGAGACCACUAAUUCCCUCAGAUCUGUUAAUUGCGAAAUGUUGAGUCUUGUAAGGGUCUGGCAACGAGUAAUACUUAGCACUUCCAAGUUUUCAAUAUGCCAAGGCAUAGAACUUGAAAUAGAGGAUCAUUUAUUAGUGAAGCGUUUAAGUCUUCUAUUUCCAAUUCUCUCAAAGACUCUAGAUGUUCAAGGCCGUUGAGGUUGGGCAACUUAUUACAUCCAAACAAAAAUAGUCUUCCUAAAGAUUUUAAUCCUUCCAAACCCUUGAUUUCCAUCAGCUCACCACAGAAGACGAUGUUAAGGUUCAAGAUUCCUGAAGGAAGCAAUGGGAUGGAUUCCAAAAAUUUGCAAAUUUGAAAACUUAGCUCUUUUAGAUGGAUUAAGUGAGAAAGUUGAGGCAAUUUGCAAUUUUGACAAGUGACUUUCAAAACUGUUAAGUUGGCAGGAAAAUCGCAAUUAGUGAAAUCAAGGUGUUGUUGAGAAGAUAGGUCACUGAACAUUUGUAACGAUAGACCGUCUUGUUCUUGCAAUUCAAAAUGAUCUUCGGCAUGGCAAAGCUUCCCAAGUUGAAGGAUCUUCAAUGAAGACAACCCAUUUAUAGGAACACCCCCCUUGCAAACUCUUGCAGGCUCUGGCAUCUAAUUCUUAAAGUUUGCCCAACUUGCUAAUAGUACUAGGUAAACUACUCAAUUCUUUACACCCAACAAUUUUCAAAAUCUUCAAAUUUUCCAAGUCCCUGAUGGAUUCAGGUAAUUCUGAAAUUUUUGCACAUAUCAAAUGCAAUUCAAUCAAUGAUUUUAACUUCCCAAUUGAACGGGGGAUACAAUCAAAACAAUAAAUAUCUUCAUACUCCCAGGCCCCCCAAUCUUCAUAUGGAAAAGCUAUAUUGCCUAGUAACAGGCGCUGUAAUUUCACAAGCAAUCCAAUGCUCUCUAGAAAUCCUUUAAAUUUAGGGCAAAAUCUCAAGUCAAGAGUUGACAAAUUUACCAAAUGGCCAAUUGAGUCAGGAAGCUCUUGGAGUCUCCAACAACUGCUCAAGUUCAAGGAAGUGAGGCACUUAACAUCUCCAAUUGAAGGGUUGAUUUCCUCUAAUUUAUGGCAAUAUUCCAGGAUUGGUAUCUCUAAACUUUUAAACGUAGAGAGAUUAGGGGUUCUCACUAAAUCAAAGCAAUGCGAAAGAUUGAGAACUUUCAACCUCUCCAUCUACAAGAAAGAAACAUGUUCCAAGAUUAGCAGAUGGAAAUAGAAUGAUUCAUCAUCAAAUGUAACAAAAGAGAAAGCAUUUCUCAUACUUACCUUGAUUGAACUCCAUCCUCUCCAUUCAUGACUGAUAUAACCAUAUGAUAAAUCAAGUAUGAGUAAUUUCUCCAAAUGAAGAUUAGUUGCCCCGAAAGAAUUAGGACAUUCGUCCCACUUUAGCCAUCUUAAUUCAGAAAGUGAAUCCUCAAAAUUUCCAACAUAAUUCACUUUACUCUGAUGAAGGAACUUCAGAUAGGGCAUCCUUUCGAAGCUCCUUCUAUUCAUGAACAUGUUUGAGCCAUUUUCAUCCAGACGUAGUGCCUCAAUAUAUCUAUUUUCUUCCUACAAAAAAAAAAAAUAAGGAUAGUAAAUAUCAGCACAAGGCAUUCCCUGAUCUUGACAUGAAUACAAAGUGUCAUUAAAUAAAGAAUAGCAUACUGCCCAACUGCCUUUUGUUAGCAUACGUCCGCAUGCUAUUGUGACCAAUGCAUUUUCUCUCCACUUAUAGAGUACAUAUGAUCUUUUUAUAACCACACAAUCAUGUUGCAUUUCAAUUUUCAAUUUCAUGCCACAAAUUUUGGUGAUAUCGUGUAAAAUUCCUCCAUGAAAUAGUCUAGGUUUCUUAUAAGAUUUUAUAUUAAAUUCUGUAACUCACGAAGUAUUGACUACCAAGUAUUCGCUCCACUGGAGCACAUAUGGUGUCCCUUUGCAAUUGUGAGAACCGUUAGACUUUGGACAAAAAAGGGUACCCAAUCGGAUUUAUUACAAGCAUUUAUGCAUUCAUAAAGCAUGACAACUUAUUUCCUUUCCGUUCAUGAAAUAUUGUUCAUUUUGGCAUAUGGUUGAAUGGAAACGAGAGUGUUCGGUCAUUUUUUCUCUAGAAGCGCAAUUCUCUGUGUAUUUAUUUCUUUUUCGAUAGACAACUUUUGUGCAAUCGAAGCAGUAUCUUUUCGUUUCAUUGAAAAAUAAUAGGUUUUCAAAUUAAAACGCAACUACGGGAAAAAUAAUUGACAAAACCUCUCUUUUUUGAAAAUUGCUCAUCAAUAAAAAAAGAAAACACAUUACGGCCAAUAAAAAUUGCACAUUCUUUAGGGCACAAAAGCCUAUAAAAGUAGGUUAACAAAAAGUUACAAUUACGCAAUCACAUUAAGGACGUGCAUCUAUAUUGGGAAUUUCAUUGGUCUUUCUUUUUACCUUUAGGUAUUGUCCUUUCACUAUAUACCCUUUUACAACUCCAUACGGAUGUCUCUCUGUUUCCCCAAUUAUCACUUUAUUUGCAUGUUGCGUGACCAAAACUUUCCAGAAAUCCACAGUUUGCUAGAGAAGAAAGAAAUUGAGCAAGGGAAGUUGAGCUUGACUUUUCAAUUUUGGAGAUUCAAGCUCGAAAAGAUCAACA
rnacentral:lncRNA from 1 species